GGAUGAGAAAACCAGCGAAGAGAUUCCAAAAGCUUAGGAAAAACGACAUAACAAUGGCAGCAAUUUGAUGGUUGGGAGUGAGUGCCACGAUCAUCAUUCCAUACAAUGUGAAGUAAAUAAAGCACAUGAGUAGGUAGUAGUAGAACCAUAAGAACUUGUCCACUCGCCAGUAGAAUCCCAUCAUAGAGUAGAGGAGAAGACUGUAAACCAAAGUUUGGAUUGCAACGUAAAUUGCCUCUAUGGCCACCUGCAGGGCAUCCGAAUACAAGAUUAGUUUAAAGUUAAGCUCUACUAGAAAUGUGUCUGUUUCUCAUCAGUUUUCUCAAAAGGCAACCUGGGCAAAUGCGUAAGGCAAUGCUGAAUACAUCCCAGCUGCCCUUUCACGGUAGAAGACUGUUCUCUCAAUUGCCACAACAGGCUGCACUGAGGAAGUGUUGGUGGCUCCAAGGAAGAAGACAGCUGAAAACAUAGCUCCCAGCAGAUUUAUUAGAUCUUGUUCCUUGUCUCUGCAUACAGUAGUUGGGGUGUUGGUUCACAUUUUUUGUUAAUUAUUAAUGGAGAACAACCAAAAUAAUAAAUUUGCAAUACUUACGUCUUCUCUCCUUUGUUCCAGAAAAUUACUCCAAAUAGAACACCAAUAAUUAUGGUCAAGAAGAACCGGAUAGCAUUAUAGGGAGGAUUCCUCCAAUAAGACCAGUGCUGUUUCCAGAAGCAAGCCUUGCAUUGACUAAUAAAGCUUUGAGAGUAUUUGGUGGGGAAAUAAAGGUCUUUGGAUCCUGGUGAUGGUGUGCUCAGCUCUUUGAUGAGUUCCUGAUUCCUCCUGCAACAAAAAGGUGAGUGUAAUAAGUCAUUGGAAAAAGAAUUGAGACAGAAAGAUGAUGUUCCAAGGAAUCAUAAUCCACUUACUGAUAGAGUUCAGAUUUAGCAUAAAUUUCUGCAAAAUCCACACCAAGUUGAGCCUCAACUGCAGCAGAGCUGAUCUCCAGCAUCCAUGUAGCAGGAUUUUGACCAUCUCUGACUUUAGGAACCCCCGGGACAGCCUGCAGCAAGUUAUGGAUUUGAUCAUGACACACUCCUUAUAAGUAUAACAAUGGAGAUGGAGCAAGUUCACGGAAGAUGAAUAAUGCUCACUUCAAAGUACUCUACAAGCUUGUGAGAAUUGCGACCAAGAGCUCCAGCAUAAAUGAUUUGUCCUCCUCUCUUCAUCAGCAGUAGCUGCAGGCAAAAAUGAUGUUGGAUUGAAGAAAGGAAUGGUGACUCCAUGAUAAUCAUACCAAUAAGAAGUAUUAGAUUCAAAACCAUGAAACUGAGAAAUACCUCAUCGAAAGCUUCAAAGAUGUCUAUGCUUGGCUGGUGAAUGGUGCAGACAACAGUCCGCCCUGUAUCCACUGUGUUUCUAACAGUACGCAUAACAACUGCGGCUGCUCUAGCAUCAAGGCCUGUCGUUGGCUCAUCCAUGAAGAGGAUGGAGGGGUUAGCAACCAAUUCUACAGCUACUGUCAGCCUCUUCCUCUGUUCUGUUGAAAGCCCAUGUAUUCCGGGAAGGCCAACCAAAGCAUCCCUCAGGGGGUGAAGCUCAACCAAUUCCAUUACUUCCUCAACAAACACCUAUGGCACAGAAGGAACAAAAAAAAAAAAAAAAACAACUGAUGAAUAUAGCUUAUAAGAGGGUGAACUAAAAGAAAAAUCAUUCAUUUGAAAAAAGGACAUGCCUGCCUUGUUUCCUUCUUGACAUCUGGAGCAAGGCGCAGCCAGGCAGAGUAAACAAGAGAUUCAUAAACAGUUACAUUUGGAGAAUGUAUAUCAUUCUGCUCACAGUAUCCACUAAUACGAGCGAAAGUUGCUUGGUUUUUGGGGUAACCAGAAAUACUGAUACUUCCUUCAAUGUAUCCACCAGUUUUCCUUCCUGCUAACACAUCCAUCAAAGUGGUCUUUCCAGCACCACUAACACCAACUAAUGCUAUUUGAAUACCUGGCCUGAAAGCACCACUAGCAUCCCGCAGCAGUUGGAGACGAUCCGCUUCAAUUCCUUGGCUCUUCAUUCCCUGUGAUUGAAUCCAUAAAAAAGUUUCAAAGCUCUAGACCAAGAUCAUAUCCUAACACAUAUAUUAGUCUCACUGGUGUGUCUACAUACUCAAAACAAGUUACUUACAGCAGGCAUAUCAACAUAGUAAUUCACAUGCUCAAAUGCAAGUGAUAAGGGCUGGAAGGGCAACACCAUUCCCCUUUUAGUAGGUGUAUGAUUUGCAUCUUUGACAACUGAUUUGGUGCUUUCUCUAGUUUUCCUUACUUCCAUAUCAAUACCUGUUACCAUAGACCUACUAUCAGCUUCCAGAUAAAGAAAAUCUGAUGUUUAUGUUAUUUGUAAUGUACAGUAUCGCUAGCCUCUUCAAGAAGUGAUUAACAAGAAUUUUGUGAGGGUCAGGUAAAAAUCUGGUGUCUCCUAGAGAAGGAGAACCAAUAGCAAGAAGCAAGUUCAGAAAUUGUAGAACCAUACAAUAAUAGUUGAUGAAACAUUGUUAAUAGCAACAUCUUCUCCUCUCUGCAAAGGGAAAUUUGCAGCAUGUUUCAGAAGAAAUAGAUCUCAAAACUUAUCCUUUUUGUCCUAACAUUUUGAAAUCUCUCUUAAUAUCCACCACUUUGUUAGGCUUGAGUUUUAGGCUAUCAUGCUACUGGUUUUCGACAUUGAUAAACCACUCAGUUUAUUGAAAAUGAACACCAUAAGGUGGCAAUCACAGGGGAUUUGAUUCAGUGGAAAACUAGAUAUUGAAUUAUUGUUGAAUGGAAACUGUAUAUGGACCUAAUGCUUGGUUAAUAAAAUAUAUAGAAACGCUAGAAGACAAACAAACAACCAAAAACCAGAGGAGAUCAAAGUAGGAAAAAUCUUGAACCUUCAGACAUUGGGGCAGUAGCUGAAUUUCUUUCUGGGGUGGUCAGAUCAUGCUGUUUGUUAGAGAAAAACUGCUUCUCACUCUUUUCUUCAUUUUCCUCAUCAAUAAUGACAGAUUUUGAGUCUCCCAGAGCUGCAUUUGAGUUUCAGAAAAUUGUCAAAACUAGAAUCUUAUUUAAAUAAUACCCAGUUCUGACUGAUGGAUGGUAAUUCCAUGACUAGAACCUUUGGAGGGAAGGAAAAAGGAAAAUGGAGGUUAGUAUAAGCAAUAACUUACGGUCCAAAUAUGUCAGAGCUACAAUGAAACAGAUAUUGAAGAGCAGAGAAAACCCCAUGAGUGCACCAACACAAAUCCAAUACCAAUAGCCAUCCACAAACAUGCCUCUUGCCUUGAGAAGAGCUUUUCCAACUGUGGGUUCUGGAAUUCUUUGAUCGAUGUUGGGCUGUGCCAAAAACCGAUUAGCGUAUACAAAGACAGACCAAGUAAUGACGGCAGAAAUGCCAAAGCUUAAAACAAAGUGAGAAACAAUCAUUCAAAAGCUACUAGGAAACCUUACCGCACUCCAUCUGUCAUCAAGAAAUUCAUUGAUGACAAGCGCAUUUUGUCCAUACGUCAUUGGAGAAGCAUAAUAUCCCCAUAUCAUCCAUGGUUCAAUAUCAUCUGAGUAAGAAGGAGAAACAAAUGGUUUAUUACAUUAUCACUCAUAUGAUAUAAUCACAUGAAGAGUGCCCCUUGUCUCCCUUUCCACUUGAAAUAUGGCAUCAGUGUUGCAAAAACAAUCUGUUGAAUUUUGACUUAGUAUUUGCUGGAAUUUGAAUUUUGAAUAUUGCAGCUGGAGUCUUGCACAAAAUCUGCAACAUCUAGAUAUUUUCUUAUUUUUAUUUGGUCAAGAUUUGGUUUCUAUUUUAUAGGAAGUAGUUGUUCAUCAUCUAGUAGCUUGAUUUUCUGCUAUUCUAAUGUCAUUUAAGUUACAAGUUCAUGUAUAAAUUCAGCAUUCUUCAUCAAUAAAAUUAGAGUUCCAGCAGCCCAAAAAUACAUAUUUUAUAUAAGUGUUUAAUCCAAAUACCAACAAAGUGGUAUCAGAGCCAUAGUUAUCUUGAGGGGCCAGUGAGGUGAGUGAACCCAAACACCUUCUAAAAUCAUUUAGCAAUGGAAGAGUCAAGUCUCACAGUUGCACCAUCAAUUCUUGAUGGAGACAAUUAUGAAACUUGGGCUGUUAGAAUGACAGUUCAUCUACAAGCACUUGAUGUUUGGGAAGCAGUGGAAGAAAAUUAUGAAGUUCCUCCCCUGGGAGCCAAUCCAACUGUGGCUCAAAUGAAGUUGCAUAAAGAAAGAAGGACAAGAAAGGCUAAAGCGAAAGCUUGCUUGUUUGCUGCAGUUUCACCAUCAAUUUUCAUCAAAAUCAUGAAAAUUGAUUCAGCUGCAGAAAUUUGGGAGUAUCUCAAGGAGGAAUACAAAGGAGAUGAAAGAAUCAAGAACAUGCAGGUGAUGAACUUGAUUCGAGAAUUUGAAAUGAAGAAAAUGAGGGAGUCUGAUGCUGUUAAAGACUAUGCUGCACAACUUCUUUCAAUAGCAGACAAAGUUAGGCUGCUUGGAAAAGAAUUUUCCAAUGAGAAGAUUGUUCAAAAGAUAUUGGUUACACUUCCUGAGAAAUAUGAAGCUACAAUUUCCUCUUUGGAGAAUUCAAAAGAUCUGUCAACUAUUAGCUUGACAGAAUUAUUACAUUCCUUGGAGGCUGUGGAACAAAGAAGACUCAUGAGACAAGGAGAUACUGCAGAAGGAGCAUUUCAAGCAAGAAUGCAGAAAAAUGCAGGCCAUAAAAAUGGAAAGGUGAACAACAACAAGUCGUGUGGCAACAACCAGAAAAAUGGAGUUUUUCCACCUUGUCCUCAUUGCAAGAAGACAAAUCAUUCUCCACAAAAAUGUUGGUGGAGACCAGAUGUGAAAUGCAACAAGUGUGGUAAACAAGGACAUGUGGAGAGGAUUUGCAAAAAUCAACAGCAGGAAGAAACUAAUGCAGUAGUUGACUAUUGUCAGGAGGAGCAAUUGUUUGCAGCAACGUGUUUUGCUAAUAAAAGCACCUCUAAAAGCUGGCUUGUGGAUAGUGGUUGUACAAACCACAUGACAAAUAAUCAAGAUCUCUUUAGAGAACUUGAUAGAACAACUAUUUCCAAAGUCAGAAUUGGAAAUGGUGAGUAUAUUCCAGUGAAGGGCAAAGGAACGGUUGCUAUCGAAAGCCAAACAGGUUUGAAACUCAUUUAUGAUGUUUUGUUUGUGCCUGACAUUGACCAAAACUUACUCAGUGUUGGACAGCUCGUUGAGAAAGAAUUUAAAGUUUAUUUUGAAGAUAGGAAUUGCAUUAUCAAGGAUGCUGAAGGCAAAGAGGUGUUCAACAUAAAAAUGAAGGGCAAGAGUUUUGCCUUGAAUUUACUGGAAGAUGAGCAUACUGCUAUUUUACAACAAGAUAGCACAACAAUGUUUUGGGACAGAAGGGUCGAGCACUUUCAUCAUGAUGAUGUGCUCUACAUGAAGAAAAAUCAAAUAGUUGAAGGACUUCCUGACUUAGAAAAAGAUCUUCCUAUAUGUGCUACUUGUCAAUAUGGGAAGCAAACUAAACUUCCCUUUCCAAAGAAAAUAUCCUGGAGAGCAACCCAAAAACUGCAACUGGUGCAUACUGAUGUUGGUGGAUCUAAAAAAAUGCCAUCCUUGAAAUGGAAUGCAAACAAUGUUUGGUGGAUCUCAAAAAAUGCCAUCCUUGAAAUGGAAUGCAAACAAUUUUGGGCUAAAACUGCAAGUAGAGCAGUAUAUUUUCUGAACAUAUUGCCAACAAAAGUGUUAAAGAAGCAGACCCCUUUCGAAGUUUGGUUUGAGUGUCUACGUGCAAGACUUGGAGUUUGCAUCUACGAAGUCAAGGAGGAGUGUUGAAUUUUGACUUAGUAUUUGCUGGAAUUUGAAUUUUGAAUAUUGCAGCUGGAGUCUUGCACAAAAUCUGCAACAUCUAGAUAUUUUCUUAUUUUUAUUUGGUCAAGUUUUGGUUUCUAUUUUAUAGGAAGUAGUUGUUCAUCAUCUAGUAGCUUGAUUUUCUGCUAUUCUAAUGUCAUUUAAGUUACAAGUUCAUGUAUAAAUUCAGCAUUCUUCAUCAAUAAAAUUAGAGUUCCAGCAGCCCAAAAAUACAUAUUUUAUAUAAGUGUUUAAUCCAAAUACCAACACAAUCAGCUCAGUGCAUAGCAAAAAGACACAAAACACUGACCUUUGGCUACAAUGAAACCACCCAGAACAAAAACCAGUAGCAAUGUAAAGGUACCAAGAGUGUUGGCCACAAUCUGUGUUCUUCCAAGUGCUGCAAUGAAGCGGAAGAGAGAUAGAGCCAUCUGAUGCACGCCAAAGAAUGCCAGUAAUUGACGGAAAAACCUGAACAUUUUUCAAGUCUUGGGUUGUCUUAGUUCCAUUUGUGAAUGCUAAAACAAGAGUCAGGAAGAAUGAGGUCCAUUCACAUACCUACUAGCAGAAGGGGCAAACCCAAUAGUGUAAUACGUGAGAAUGAUCCAUAUCCCUGACUCCAUGAGUGACAAGGGGAUCCUAAGGACCCAAAUUGGUAAUGCAAAAGCCCAUGCCGGGUAAAACAAGAAAUCCCUCUGCUUAAAAAACACUGGGAGCCUGAAAAGAGUCAAUGCAAGCUCUGCCAUUCCGUUAAACAUUACAUUUAUGAGACUAUAAAACAGAGCCCCAUAGAAUUUUACUCCAUCUUGCAGUUGGCCAUGCUUCAUUUCUGUUCUGAAGAACACUGUCAUGGCAAUUACUGACAUGAUUGUAAUCUGGGUUGUCUUGAAUAUGUAUAUAAAAGAGUUGCGCUUCAUCAAUAGCCACUCCCUGGCAAAGCAUGCCUUGAAGAGUUCCCAGUUGGAGAUUCCAUACUUUUCUGUCACCAAUGCUGCAGGAUGGGUUCUGCUCUUAUUGUAAGGGAUUCCAAGGUCGUCUGAAAGCUUCUGGCCAAUGUGGAAAGAGUUGAAAUGUUGUGCAAACUCGGGCACUGAGAUAUAUUUGUAAGGUUCAUUGUGUCUGAACCAGUAUUGUUCUUGUUCCUUUCUGGAAGUCACCUCUUGCAAGAAGUCUGCAACUCCUUUUCUUUUUGGGCAUUUGAAGCCCACGCUUUCAAAGAACUCAAGGAUGUUUUCACGGGGACCUUGGUACACAAUCUGACCCUCACAUAGUAAGAUAAUGGCAUCAAAAAGAUCAUAAGUUUCAGGUGCAGGUUGGAGAAGAGAGAUUAUCAUGGUUACUUCCAUGAUAUGAACCAUCUGCCUCAUAAACUUGACAAUCUGAAAAGUGGUGGAACUGUCCAGACCAGUUGAUAUUUCAUCCAUGAAAAGAGCCUUUGCUGGUCCAACCAACAUUUCUCCUGCAUUCAGUUUCAUCAGUCAUAUUAGGCUUUUGUGGAAUAUUAAAAAUCUUAAGAACAAGGAUUCCUCAGAAAGCAGACAAUUCAUAAUUGAUCAGUAGCUCAAUUCAAAUUGAAGGCAAAUGCUUUACCACUAAGUUGAAAGAAACAAUUGAUAUAGGACAUAAUCAAUGGAAAUGGGGCACAUACCGGUAGUAACACGCUUCUUUUCUCCACCAGAAAUGCCCCUUCUCAUAUCAUCUCCCAACACAAUGUCAGCGCAGAUGUCUAAUCCCAGCAUCUGUUACACAGACAAUGUCAAAGAGCGUAAAGCUUGGGAAUGUAACUAAUAGGCCAGGCACCAAAUGGAAAUGGAGGUGCAAACCUUGAGCACAUAAUCUGUAACCAAACUAGUUUCUUGGCCUGCCAUUGCUGUUGCUUUCAUGAAUGCAUCUAUCUCAGGAUCUGGCUUAAUUGCAGAUUCUUUUUCUCGUCUUGACAAUUCUGCUAGUAGUUCAUAUCUGGUUCCAACUCCCAAACAUCGUCCUGAGAAGUCCAACGUUUCCCUAACUGUCAUCUCACCAUGGUGCAGAUCAUGCUGGCUAAUGUAAGCACAUGUUCUCUGAGGAACAAACUCUGAUAAUUCAUGACCACAGUAUGUGAUUUUUCCUUCCAUCUGUCCAUAAACACCGCACACAACAGAUCAAUGAGUUCAGGAAUCGGGGACUAUCACCAUCACUAAAUAAUUCAGAAUUAAGGAACAGUCCGAGGACAUGGGCUAAAACUAGGGAAGGAAAUAACGAUGACACAGUGAAGGAUCGAAUUGGAUAAAAAUAUUUGUCAGAAUGUAAGUUGGGGGGACAGCAUACCCUUAGAUCUUUGUCCAUCUUCCCAGCAAGCGCCUGCAGCAGGGUAGUUUUCCCUGAGGCUGGAGGUCCCAGAAGCAGGGUCAUUCUGCAAAACACAGAAGCUAAUCAAGAAACCAGCAAAGAAAGAAAGUGUACUUAAUGGGAAAUUUUUUUGUUAUCCUAUUGAAUUUUCCCAGAAUAUGUAUCAAUCAAAUUAUCUAAAGACAUCAUUCAGGAGAUUUGUGUUAUGGGUAACAUGAUUGAUUGAAUGGUACUUCCAAAAAUGGAAUACAUUUACCUUGAUGGUUUCACGAUCCCACUCACAUCUUUUAGUAUCUUGACUACCCUUUUCUUGGAUGAGGAAAGCCUAAUCAGUCCAAGUAUUCCCUGUUCAUGACAAUAAAUAAACACAAUCAUACUUCAUUUAUCUCUACAACAGUCUUCUCAAUUGAAGCAAACAUCUCCCAAAAACAUUAUCAGGAGAUUGAAGUCAUUCAUUAUAAUUUGCUGAAAGGGAAAAUCAAGAAUCACCAUCGAAAACAGAAGAAGAAAAACAAAGGGACAAACAGAACAAACUACCUCUAUGAAGUUCAUGGUAGAAUUGAGCAGAGUAGGAAGUGCUCUGGUUCCAACAUAUGCGUCUCCUUCCACUGAUAAAUGCUCAAACCGGACUUCGAUUUUUGGUAUCUCAACCCCAACCCUGUUGAGCAAACAGAUGUUAUGUUUCAUAAAACUUUUCUGGUAACAAAUUCAACCGGGGCAAAGCCAAAAGCAAAAAAACACAUGACCAACAGGGUGAACUUCAUGGGAAGAAAGAGAGAAGAGUGACCUAUCAGUCCUUUCCCUGAGCCUGAGAAGGAACUUCUCAUUAUCUUCUUCAACAACCUUAAGUAUACUCUCUAUGAGAUGCUUCCUCUCCUGCAUACCAAGAUUGGUGAAGUCAACUUCUUCAUGGACAACCUUCCCAUCAUCCAAAACUUGCUUAAGCAUCCCCUUCCUCAACCGCUCAAAGGUUGGAAGCCUUUCAAUGGCCGCCCACUUCAACUCUUCCUCAUCAUCCUCUCUCCUACUCUGAAAAACAUCACCUUGUGCUGACAACACCUCAAGAAUACUCGCAGAAGCCCAACUUCGCCUACUUCCAGACGCUAAACUUUUGCGCCUGCUGCUCAUGGACCUUGCUAGAUCAUCCCCAGCCAAUGCUGCAGCCAUUGUCACCCACCAAAACCCCUCAGAGUAAAGACUCCAAACCCCCCUUUAUAAUAACCCUGGAAAGCUCAGAUUCAACCGAUGAGCUCAAGAUGCUAGAGAAGGUGUGGAUGAAAUGGUGAGUAGAUGAGAUUGAUGGGCAUGGAGUGAUGUAGGAGGUGAUGGAGACUGGAAAGCGGUAGAGAAGUGGGCAUUACUGAGUGGCAGAGGAGAGUCUUUUAUGACGUACAUGAAAUUUUUAUGUUUGAUCACUUGACAGUUCGGGAGACUUGAGAGUUGGCUGGUGAGACUUUCAUGCAUAUGGAUGCAAAUCUUUUUCGGCUUAAUUAUGGCUGGCAUAUAGUUUGGAGAGGGUAAGUGUGUUUUUGGUGUCUCCGUGUUAGCUUAACAACCACAAUAAAAAUAAAAUAAAAUAAAAACCUAAAAUUAAUUAAAAUUUCACCCACCCAAGAAAAAGAUAGUACAUGUGUUGUUAAAUGCUACUACUUUAAUAUUAUCCUUCACUUAAAAAUGUAUAAAAAUAACAAUUAUUUUGAAAUCACAUCAUACCAUUUCAAAAAUAAAAAUUUCCCUUACAUGUAAAGGUUUUUUUAACAAAAAUAAAACAUUUGACCCCUCUAAAAAAACAAUAUAAAUUUAAUUUUAAAAUUUUUAAAAAUAAAAAGUGAUGGUAACUAAAUAUUAUUACCACGACCGAACUAAAAUUAAAAAAUAAAAUAAAAUCUUCUUUAAUAUUUUUCAUACUUAUUUUUUCUUGUUUUUUUGAAUCUUUUUCUUGUUUAUGCUUAGUUUUUAUGAUUGGUUUAACUUACCAGAGAUAGUUAAUGUUAUCCUUAAUUUACAUAUUGAUAUUUAUCUAUUUAUUAUGUAUUAGUUUGAAUUAUAAUAAAAUAUAGAAUUUGAUUUAGAGUGAAAGUUUACUAUUAAAACCUACUCCCAAUCGUGUAGAUAUUAUCCGUUUUGGACCCAAAGGGGCCCUCUCAGCUUUAAAACGCGUCUAAUUGGUUAAGAGGAGUCUCUACAUAUAUAACAUUAGGAACUUUCUCUUAUAUCCGAUGUGGGACAUCACAAACACUUCUUAUGCAAACACAACGUUUGUAACGACCCGCUCCCAACUAUGUAGAUAUUAUUCGCUUUGAACCCAAAGGGGCUCUCACGACUUUAAAACGUGUUUACAGGGUUAAGAAAAGUUCAUGCUUAUAUAGUGCUAUGAACUUUCUCCCCUAUUCGAUGUGGGAUGUCAUAAACAUCCCCCUAUGCAGACACAACGUCCUUGUUGUGUCCUACGAGAUUGUGGGGCCAAACAAACACCCUUACGGGACUAAACAAACCCCACACCGAGGUCGGGGAUCAGCUUUGAUACCAUUUGUAAUGACCCGCUUCCAAUCGUGUAGAUAUUGUCUGCUUUGGACCCAAAGGGGCCCUCACGGCUUUAAAACUCGUCUACAGGGUUAAGAGAAGUCCAUACUUAUAUAGUGCAGGGAACUUUCUCCCUUAUCCGAUGUGGGAUGUCACAAAAUUUUUGUAAUGGCCCGCUCCUAACCGUGUAGAUAUUGUCCACUUUGGACCUAAAGGGACCUUCACGGCUUUAAAACGCGUCUAUAGGGUUAAGAGAAGUCCAUACUUAUAUAGUGCAAGAAAUUUUCUCCCAUAUCCGAUGUGAGAUGUCAUAAACACCCCCCAUGCAGACACAACGUCCUCGUUGUGUCCCACGAGAUUGUGGGGCCAAACAAACACCCUUACGGGACCAAACAAACCUCACACCAAGGUUGGGGAUUGGCUCUAAUACCAUUUGUAAUGGCCCGCUCCCAACCCUGUAGAUAUUAUCCGUUUUGGACCCAAAGAGGCCCUCACGGCUUUAAAACGCGUCUACAAGGUUAAGAGAAGUUCAUACUUAUAUAGCGCAAGAAACUUUUUCCCCUAUCCGAUGUGGGAUGUCACAAACACCCCCCAUGCAGACACAAUGUCUUCGUUGUAUCCCAUGGGAUUGUGGGGCCAAACAAACACCUUUACGGGACCAAACAAAUCCUACACCGAGGUCGAAAAUCGGCUCUGAUACCAUUUGUAAUGGUCUGCUCCUAACCGUGUAGAUAUUAUCCGCUUUGGACCCAAAGGGGCCUUCACGGCUUUAAAACGCCUCUAUAGGGUUAAGAGAAGUCCAUACUUAUAUAGCGCCAUGAACUUUUUCCCUUAUCCGAUGUGGGAUGUCACAAACACCCCCCUAUGCAGACACAACGUCUUCGUUGUGUCCCGCGGGAUUGUGGGGCCAAACAAACACCCUUAUGGGACCAAAAAAUCCCCACAUCGAGGUCUGAGAUCGGCACUGAUACCAUUUGUAACGAUCUGCACCCAACUGUGUAGAUAUUGUCCACUUUGGGUCCAAAGCAGACAAUAUCUACACGGUUGGGAACAGAUCGUUACAUUGAAUUGUAGUAGAACCCAAAUAUAUUUAUAUAUAAAUACUUAGCAUCAUUAAUGAGAAUAGUAUGUCAUAUUUUCUUUAUCUAUAUGAUAUCAAAGCCUUGAAUUCUAAACCCUAAUUCAACUUAGAGCAAAUUUAGGGUGCAAGGCUCAGGCCCUACAUGCCUCCCCCUACCCUUACCGCAAAUCGUAGUGACCUUGCUAUGCCUAUGUAUUGAAUGUAGUAUUUUGAAAUACAUUUUCAUAGCCAAGAACUCCAAUUUUUCUUAGUUCAAACCUACUAGAAGUUUCUUCUCCUUUGCUUCCACUUGGUUCCUUUAUUUAACAUAUAUUUUUUUUAUUCCCUUCAACUCUACCUUUCUCUCUUUCUUUAAAACCUUCAUCAAAGAUAUAUUUUCUUUAUUUAUAUAACUAAAUCAUAAAAAAAAAAAUACUUGUUAAGUUUUUAUUAACUAAUAUUUUUACCUGGAAGUAGGAAUAUAAUGUGAAUCGAUCAAAGUUUAACCAUUAAGUUGCAAGUGUUUAAUGAUUUAUUAUAAGUUUUAAGUGAAAGACUUUACUUUCGAAGAUAGUCCAUUAUUUGAAAAAGAAAAAAAGCUAAGAUAUUGAUUUUGUAUCUAUGAAAAUUUUGGAUACCCGAAUAUAAUGCUACCAAUAAUUGUACUAAUGCACAUAUGUCUCUCUCCCAUCAAUCGGUACUAGUUAAAGUAAUGGAAAUUCCCAUAUUUGUUUGAUGAGAAAUUCGAAAGAAAAAAUAUAUAUAAUAUAAAUAAAAUAUAAAUAAAAUAUAAAUAUAAAUUAAGAAUAAGCAUCCCCUGUAGAUAAAUAAAUCUUUUUUUUUUUUUUUAUUGGAUCCGUCGGGACUGACGGGGCUCGAACCCGCAGCUUCCAUACCCGAUUCAUAACUAGAAAGUUUCUCUGGUCCUUUACUAAUCGGAGCUAAAACUCUGGAAAAUUUUAAUGUCCACUUUUGAAAGCAUAUAGAAUUCUAAGUUUUUUGAAUGUAAGUAUAAAAAAUGAAGUAAGGUAUAAAUAAAUAAGAUUAAGUUGUAAGACAAUGAGAUCUAAAGACGUUAAACAAAAAUGAUUGAAUUCUUUAAAAUAAUUUUAAAUGUUUUUUCUUUAAAAUGACUAAAAUUAUUGAAAAUUUAUAAUUAUUUUUCUUUUAAUUUUUUUAAUUCUUUUAUUUUUUAUAUAUCUAAAAUCUAAAACUUUUUUCAAUGUUCUUAAUACCAUGUUGUUUAAUUUGAUACAUUUUUAUAAUUAAUAUUUAAAAUUAUUUAAUUUUUUUAAUAAUAAUAUAAAAUACUAUUAAUUAGCUUACAAUUUAUAAAUGAUAACUAUAACAUUUUUCUUGGAUCCCUCUUAACAAAAGUCUCUGGCUCGGCCAUUGGUUCACGAGUCUCCCAAUUUCUAUCCAACUUUUAUCUUAUUAUUUUGUAUUUUAAUUUUAUUAUUUAUAUGGGAGUUUUAUAUAUUUCUUAGUAUAUACUUAGAAUAGAUUAAUUUAGAAAGUUGGUAUGUGGCCCAGAAGAGAGGCAAUUUGGACGGCCAACGUGGCAUAAAUGCGUCAACUUGACUGACAAAUCACAUUAAACCCUUAAUGCCCAUGCCUUCCCAACUGCCUCCUGCUCUGAUUGAUAUUGAGUGGAAGUAAAUGCUCUAUUAAUAUCCCCUUCUAUGAUUUUGACUUUCAUUCAUUACACCCCACAUUUCUCAAUCCAACAAAUGUCGACAUGACAGAAGUAGAGAAAAUUAAAAUCUUCAUCUAAACAUCAUGUACGGGGAAUAAAUUCCCUAAUUAAAAUUUCUUGACCCCAAUUAUUCACGGAUUUUUUAAAUAAAAAUGUUAUUUUAAAAAAUAUUAUUAAAAUAUAGUUGCAAAAAUAUGAUGCUUUUUAACAUAUUUUUUUAUUUAUAUCCUAAAUUUAUCUUUUCAAAAUAUCAAUUCACUUUUUAAAAAAUGAUUUUAUUUUUUGUACUGUAAGGAUCAGUCAUAUUUUUACCUUAGAACAUUUUAUAUUGAAUUGGACUUUUCAAAAAAUGAAAAGACGAGUUCUACUUGUAAUUAAAAAGUGUUGCAAAUUUAAAAUCAUUUUUUAUAUUACGGUUAUUUAAAAAAUGCACUACUCUUGUAGAAAUCUCAAUUAUUCACCUCAUCAAACAAUUUUGAAAAAAAAAUGUCAUGUUUAAAUCUAGUUUUUAUUUUUAAGAUCAGGCAAGAACCUAAUGUUUUAAAAGCCUAACUAAUUAAAAAAACAAACCAUAUAUUAUAAAUGGAGUUUUUUGAAUUAGUUUUUAAAAAGAUGUGGUGAAUAAGUAACCUUAGAAUCCAUUUUUGGUAGUGAUUUUAGAAUACUUUUUUAACACAAAAAGUGUUUUUGAAAACAAAUUAGAUGGUUUAAAAUUUUGUAAAAUCACUUAUAUCAUUAAAAAAAUCAUUUAUAACAUUUUCUAGAAAAACAAUUGAUAAAUGAUUUUUCUAAAAACAUUUCUAGGUAGAAACAUUGCGAAAUACAGUAUUAAUUUAUUACUUUUUUUUAAAUCUUUAUAAAAUGAAUGAAGAAACUUUUCAAGCAAACAAAUUAAUACAAAUAUUAUUAAUAUAAAAUAAGUUGGAAAAAAAAGGGAAAAAUCGAUGCAUCAAAUUUCGUUUGAUUUGUAAUCUUUUCGUCCAAUGAGCAAUCAUCUUUCAUUUCUCAUUUAUAUAUAAAUAUAUAUAUUUUUAAAUUUUUUCAAAACAAAUGAAUUCCAAUGGGAAACUUAUGCAUUAGAUUCUUUAAUGAGCUUAUUAACUUUUAGAAAUGAUUUGAAAUCUAGAGCAGUGUAAAAUCCUAUAAAUAAUUGAGGAGUAUAUGCAUGUGUGACAAAAAAGUUAAUUUAUUUACAUAAAUUAGCGUUCUCCCUCUUUCUCCUUUUGUUUGAGAUUCAACGAAGUCAACAAGUACAUAUGUUGACUAAUCAGCUUUGGUCAUGAUCAAUACACGAAAUAACCUCGCAAUUUCCUUGUAUUUAUGUUUCUGUGAAGUCCAAAUUCAUUUAUUACUCAAAGCAUUAAUUUCAGAAAAUAAUAAAUAAUAUUUGUUUUUUAAGAAUUUUUCUAUUCCAUUGAAAAGCCGAUUUUUCAAUAUAAUAUAAAAAUAUGGUAAUGCAAGAAAUAUUGUUUGAUCCUAUUUCUUUGAACCUGUGUUGUUUUUAUUUUUCAUAUCAAAAACUCAAAUCUUAAGUUAGACAUUGUAUUGAAGGGGCAACAUAAAAUCUUUAUUAUUCACCUCAACUAAGUGUUAUUUUUUAUUUUUUAUUUUUUAUUCUUUUAUUUCCCAAUUUGCAGAUCUAAGAGGUUGGAUUUGAAACUAUUGGGUAAGACAUAAUCUUGGUUUUGUUAAAAAAAAUAAAAAUAAAUAAAGAAUAAGAAAUAAAGAUUAAAAAAACGCAUGAGAAUCCAAUUGAGAAAGUAAGAAUUUUCAUUUUCUAAAGCCCGCAUGCAAUUUGGGGUGCUUGAAUGAACUUGAUAUUGAAUUUCAUUUCCAACAAAGGAAUUUAGGUUCAUUUGGAAAAAAAAAAAAUCAUAAAGAAUAUGAAAAAUAAAACAAAUUAUUAUGGGGAUAAAUUAUUGUCAUAAAAAAAAUAAAGAAUUGAGGUAAGAAAUUCAGAGAAAGUGAACUCAUGAAAGUAUAAAUUUCCAAUAACCUUUAUUUAAGGUUAUAAUCGUAAUGAGUACAAUAAAUUAUUCUCUAGAUUUAUUACAACGGAUAAAUUGGUAUUAAAAAACAAUAGGGAUACUAUAGAAAACAUAGAUCUUGAGAAUAAAACUACAUACUUUGAUUCAGAUGUUCCUGGAUCGAUUUCGGUUGAUAUAGAUAACUCCAAAGUAGUAAUGAAUCUCAUAAACACCAUGAUCUUCAGUCCGAUGACUCUUCCUUGUGUUGAUGAUGGAGAUCUCAAGGGUGGAGGUUAGGGUUCUCUCUUUAGAUUGAAGGGGAGAAAGACAAGACAUAAAAACCUUUACCCCUAAAGGGGUAUUUGUAGGUUUCUUACUAGGCUUAAGUGCCUUAAGCCCACCAUGGACUUGGGUUACUUAAUCUAGCCUAAAAAAGGUUGCUAAUUGAUUAAUUAACCAUACAAUACCCUAAUCAAUCAAUUAACCCAGUCCAAAGAUACUACUCACUUAUCCUUGUGCAAUCUUAUGUAAUUACCAAAAUACCCUUAUACAUAAAGUGAACUAAAAACACAUUCAAUCCUUAUAAACCGCGUCAUCAAGGAAUAUGAGCUUAGAAAGGGGGCCAUUGAGACCCAUAGGAGUACUAGCUCCCUUACAAUUAAAUUUUGAAAUUGACUCAAUAUCCUACUAUAGAGAGUCAACUACACUCCAGUACCCUAUCUAUAUUACAACGAGACACCAAGUACUCUAGUUCAUGACUUACUAUCCAUUACAUACAGGCUCCCUAUGAACUAGUCCAUAAUCUAACAAGGUAGUGUUAUCACUUAUUAAGAUUACCUAUCAAAUCUUUUAGUUAUAGAUCUCACUUAUUCUAUGAUCAAAUGAUAUACUCUAACUUUAAGGAGCAUAUGUCAAAUUCCAUUAAAGGAAUUAUUAUGUCCACAAAUUUCAAGAUCAUUGGCAUUUGGAUCACCCAAUGGGAUACACUAUUUCAAUCCCAUGAGAAAUCAUGGUGCCUCUAUUGAGAAUACCUGUUGCCACUAGCCUCCAUCAAGAGUGAUCCAAUCCAUAGGGAUAUAUAACCACUUUAGGGUUUUACCUAUAGGUCAAAGCCUCUUGUUGAUUUUGGCAUAGACUCAAUAUCCUCUCAAGGUUGAAAGUUCAUGUAAUACAAUAGCUUGGUGAAUUAAGACAAUUGGUAGUCUUACCAUGAUUCACCCUAAGUUUUGUUCAGUGUGCAUUAGAUACACUAGUGCACUCACCAUGGGAAACUCAUCUCGACAGUUAAGACAAGUCAUCCCUCAAAUUAGGAGGUAGUGCACUACGAUCUCUACUAGAUUACCCAAAUCCAUGAACCAAUUGUGGACAACUUAUCUACUUACAAAGAACCCAUGACUUGUAUAUUCUGUGCAACUCCUAAUGCACCUAAGUCAUGUAUAAUGUAAGAGACAUAAACUGAAUACUCAAAUCAAUGUCAAUACACCAAAAGGAUAGCAAGAUGAUAGCUAAGUUUAACUUUGUUACACUAUAUCUUGGUUUCAAGGGCUCAAUCCCAACAAACUCCCACUAGUCCUAAAAACAAACUAGGCAACGUAGAAAAAAUUAUGCUUCAUAGUCUCAUCACCUCUCAAUACUAUAUCACAAUAAGGUAACACUUUUUCUUUAUGUGUUUUCUCUUUUAAUGGUACUUUAGUUCUUUAGACCAUGCCACUGUCCCAUUGUUAUCACAUAUCAGGAUCCUAGACAAUAUAGCUAAGGGAACUAGCCAUAAGCCAAAAGGCUUCCUUUGUUGCUAUAGAAAUAACAAAAAACCAUUUAAAGUAUACACAUACUUAGAGGUAGACAUACGAGAGUUCCUAUCAAAUUGAAGUUCAAUUUCUCGGUAAGAAAGGAGUACCAACUCAUCGCAAAGACUCACAAACAUAUAAGCCUUUAUUCUUUAAAGAUACUAGAGUAUAUGUUUGACAUCUGCCCAAAUCUCUAAUAAGGAAAUUGACCAAUAUCCACUCAUUAUUCCUAUAACAAAACAAAUAUCUGGUCUAACACAUAGUAUUGCAUACUUAAGGCUACCCAUUACAAAGGCAUUGAAUAUCGCCUUAAUGCUAUCUUUCUCCAUAGAUAUCCAAGGACAUUGAUCCUAAGAAAGACAACUCCAAAUCUAAAGAGUAAUAAACAUUCCUAGAGUUUUGCUUCAUGUACUUGACCAAACGCUUAUCUAUGUAGGUGACAUGACACAUUUUUCCUACUCUUGCAGUCUUAAAAGACCUUAGCCCCAAGGAUAUAUUGCGUCUUCCUCUAAAUUUUCAUCUAGAACUGAGUAAACUACUAGAUCUUAAUUGAUGACAAUAUUUCUAUAUCAUAUCCAAUGAGUAUAUUGUUAUCUACCUACAAGAUCUUAGAGUAUCACCACUCUUCCUUGUACCUUCUUAUACACACAAGACCCUUUGUUAUGAAAAUGUUUAGUUGUUGUAUCUUACAAACGAGACACACUGCAAUAGAUAUGAGUAAUCUAAUGGAUUUGAGUAUGACCACUGUUAAAAAGGUUUCCCAUAGUUGAAAGAAAGUUUCAAACUAUAACCUUUUGCUAUAGUCUUAACCACAUAAAACUCAAGCUUUCCAUCUACUUCUGUGUUCCUCUUGUAGACCAACUUACACCUAUAGGUUUUAUCCUCUUUAAGUGCUUCUAUAGAAAUCCAACCUAUGUUAGAACUACCUCUUCAUAACUCCUUACCUUAAGUGAGGACAAACACUGUUCACCACUUCAUCAUAAUCUAUAAGAUAUGAACCUCCCACUAUGAUGAGGCACUAGUGUAUUAGAAAUAAUGGGAAUGGUAUGUUUUGAAACCUCUGGAUCCAUAGUAUCCUAUGCAAUGUGGGAUUAUCUUAUAAUAUAUCCUCCAAUAUGUAUCACUUUUUGCCUUUUUCCUUAUCAUAUAGUCUUCAUAAAAAAUAUGACAUUUGUGUCAAGAAAUAUCUUUUGGUGAUCUCGACUAUAAAGGUAAUAACCCAAAAAUCCUCCUAAAUAUCCUAUAAACUAAUAUACCUCUUAAGAAAAAGAGGUAUUACACAGUGUAUAAGACAUAUCCCUAAAAGAAUUCGGAAAAAUAUGAAAAACCUAUCCACGAUCUCACUAGGACCAACCAAGUUUGAUAUCUUCUAUCCACUUCUCCAUUUUGUAAUAGAGACCCUGGUGCACAUGCCUAGGAAAUAAUCUCGUGCUCCAAUGAAAAGAAUUAAACUUAUUAGACAUAUCACCUUGAUCUAAUCGAAGUGACUUGGUAUUUAUAUCCAAUAGGUUAUCUGAUCCUACCUUAAAUUCAAUGAAUAUAUCUAAGGCAUCGAAUUUCCUAUGUAAAUAUCCAAACCUAGAGUAAUCAUCACUAAAAGUGAUAAAAUACCCAUACCCUUCCCAUGCAUGGACACUAAAAGUUCCAUACAUGCUAGUAUGCACUAACUCCAAACAUUCCUUGGCUCUAGUCCACUUGGUCAUUUUUCCAUCUAUAUAGGAUUCAUAGACUGAAAGAUCUUCUAGAAUCAAAGAGUCCAGACUUUACUAGUCUUUGGAUCUUAUUUAGAUUAAUAUGACCUAGGUUUAGAAACCAAAUGUUUAAUUAGUGCUAGGUUUAAUAAUGAGAUUUAACUAUUCUCAUCACUUGACAAAGUAAUAAUGGAAUACAUAUAAAAGACGAGAAUAUUACCUUUCACUAGUCUGCAUAGCUAACCUUGCAUUUGAAGCUAAGUUAAAUAUAAUCCAUCAUUUAACCUUCUCACUUGUUGAAUAUUCUAUAAGGACUUAUAAACAAUGGGCCUGGAAUCUAUCUACCAUAAAUGGUGAAAUCUACCACUAAAUAUUCAAUAACGAGAAAAUGAUGUAUGCUUUCCUUGUUCCUUAAUGUAAAUUGGGCAUUCCUUUUCUAGAGUCCUAAAAUGUCAUAAAGGAAUCACUUUCCUUUGAGCUUGCUCUCUUAUUCUUUCUCUCUAACUUUCCUUAUUUGGUGUUAUUCUUCAUUUUCUUGAGAGAAGAACCUAAAGAACCUUUGACUUUCAUAUGUACACUCUAUAAUUUUUAAUAAUCCCUUUAGCCAUCCCGAAGGAAAAUGACAAGGUCUCUAAGAUCAUAUAUAUGAAUACUAGUGUUCAUAACAGUCCUAAAAGUAGCUUGUCAAUGUUGUCCUACCAUUAUCAUCAUUCCAAACUAGAAAGUGUAUAUGAAAGUCUUUAGUAAUAGAGAUAUGUUGCUAUUGCAACACAUUAUCCAAAGAUCCAAGUGUUACACACUUGGUCUUCUAAUACAACCUUGAGAUACCACUCUUUCCUUUUGCUAGGUUAGUUCAUAAGGAAUAGUUAGCUCUACCUAAACUAGCUUCUAUGUAAUUACUUGUUAUAUCCAUAAUGAAAUUAGUCUAAUUAAUUAGUUGGGCUUGGCUUAUUGUGAGAAAGAGAGUGAUAAUAUAACCAACAUGAUAUCUGUAAAAAAGAAUAUAAUCAAGCAUAUGACAUAAUUUAGCAUUUAUGGGAAUUGGUAAUAAAUUUAGCAAAAAUGUAGUGUUCUCAAACUACAUGUCAUUUUGUAUAUUAGUAUCAUAAAAAUCAAGUCUACCUUAUUAAUAGUUAAAGACCUUCUUAGAUUGAUCUCAUUGCCUUAAGUAUAAAGGUAUCUAAAGGCAUGAUCAACAUACUUUUUAUUUGGCCUAUGGACUAUGCAAGUAGGACCGUGUGAAGCUAUUCUACCACUUCAUAUCCAAUGUCAAGUUGUGGACCCACAUUUUCCAUGUGCGUUCCCACUCAAACGGCUAGACUUGUUUUUUUUUUAUUUAUUAUUAUUAUUAUGAAAAAUUGAUUUUUUGAAAAAGACUUGGAGUUGUAACUUAUUUUUGUUUUAUUUUUUAAAAGGGGAAACAAAAUAAGAAAAAAAAAAGUCCUAUGUGAAUCUUUAUUUGGAAAAGACGUGUAUGCAAAAACUGAGUUUGAAUUUGGGAAUCAAGUUACCUAUCAGGAAGGUACGGUAGUGUGUCAUAGCACCCCUCUAAGAUUGUAUACAUACGACCUCUACUAAAUGAAUGAAGGGAAUUGUGACAAUUAAUUAAUUGAUCAUGGAUACCGAGAAAAAGAACCACAAAUAAAUAUAUACAAAUCAUUGCGAAAAUCAAUAUAUACAAAAAUAAUGAUGAAAUCAAAAUACAAGUAUAUACAAAAUAAAUGACAAAGAGAUUAUGCAAAUCGAUUUAUUGAACUAAUUAAAAAAAUAUAUUCAAAAAAAUUAUUUUUUAAAGACAUUUCAAAGGAUUUUAUUAAAAAAAAAAGAAACAAUUUUGAAUUAAUGAUUUCAAUUUAAUUAUUUACAAAAAAAAAGUGUCAAUUUAUUUUCAAUAAAUGCUUUGAUUCAACUUUAUUUGUUUUCAAUUUUUAAAAAGAGUUAUUUACCCUUAUUGUAUCAAAAGAACUUAUUACAAAAUUUCAAUUUGGUAACAAAUUUUUACUUGUUUUUACUAGAAAUGAAUGAAUUUUUACAACUAUAUUUACAAAAGUAUCUUAGUUUGAUUUUUCAUUUAAGAAAAGUGAUUUAUACAAAUUAUUUAUAAUAAAUAAAUAACUUUAUUUGCAAAAGAUUUUUUUUUUUUAAAAAAAAGAAAAGACUUUUAUAGGUUUAUUUACAAAAAUGUUAAAAUUCAAUCCAAUUUUAAUCGAAAAGUGAAUUUUCACAAAAUUAUUUACAAAAGUGUCUUAACCCCUUUUUUAUUUAUAAAAAAUAAUUUAUUAUUUGGUUUCAUUAAAAAAAAUUUAUUGAAAAAGAGAUUUUAUCUUUAUUUGAUUUAAAGGUAAGUUAUUCAAUUUUAUUAGAACUUAAAAAAAUAAAAUAAAAUAAAAUAAGUCUUAAAGAUUUGAACUUUACAAAUAAAUAAAUAAAUACCAAAGUUAAAGAAAAUCAUUUUUUCAUAUUUUAUUCACAAAAGCAUUCCAAUUUGAUUUUUGUUUUCUUUUAAAAGGAUUUUUUUUAAGAAAAAAAGGAAAUUUACAUUUUCACAAUUUUAUUUGAAAAGAAUUUAAUUUAUUUUUAUCAUUAAAAAUAAACAAGUAAAAAUAAGUAAAUAAAUAAAUAAAUAUGCUUAUAAAUUGCUUAGAAGAUUCAUGAAGAUUUUUUUUUUUUUUAAAUAAUUUUGUCUAAAAAAAAUUACAAUUUUAUUUGCUUAAAUAAAAAUAAAAUUAAAAGCUAAAAAGAAGAUUUUUUUUUGAAUUUUAUUUCAAAAAUAGAUUUAUCUUAAAAAUAACAUAAAAUUAUGAGUUUGUCUAAAAGAUUGAAUUUUUACAAACCUUUACUAAAGACAAAUUUUUACAAUUUUAUUUAAAAGGAAAUUUUCCUUUAAAAAAAAAAUGAAGAAAAAUCUGCACAAGUUUUAUUAAAAAAAAAAAAAUUGUUCAUAAAGAAAAUAUUAUUCCAAUCUUAAUUUUAUUUAAGGGAGAUCUUUACAAAUUAUUUGGAAAAAGUACAUUUACAAAAUUAUGUACAAAGUAGGUAUUUAUUUAGGGAUGAUUAUUUACUUGACUUUUAUUGAAAAGGAAUAAAAUAAUAAUAAUAAUAAUAAUAAUAAUAUCUAAAAAAGGAUUUUACCUAACUUUAAAAAGAUAUUUUUUAAAAACUUUAUUUAAAGAGAUAACUUUGCCUAAGAUAAUAACAAUAAUAAUAAUAGAAUAAAAUUAUGACUUUAAGGGUUGAAUUUUUUAUUUACUUUUAAUAAAGAUAGAUUUUUGUAAUUUUAUUUAGUGAUAACAAUAAAUCAGGCUCCACCAACUUCUACCCAUGCCAAUACCUUGCUUCAACCACCCCAACUACUCAUAUUUUGCUCUUCCCACUCUCAACACAAUGACAAAAGACAACCUAAUCGUAAGAAAACCCAAUAUGAAUGAACUUCAAUAACCCAAAUCAAUAAUGCAUAAAGCCAAAUACAAAACAAUAACCCGAACAACAAAGCCUAAAUAGAACAAAUACAUCAAACACAAGUCCAAUUAAAUGAAAUUCGAGCCUAAAUUCGUAAAUGAAUAUUGUAGAAAUUAAAUAACAUAACAUAAAAUAAAAGUAAAAAAUAAAAGAAACAAAAUAAAAUUAAAUUAAAACUUACCUAUCUCCCAAAGCCGUGUAUAGAGAUGUAGCAACAAUGGGAGAUCGGUAGCCAUGGGGAGCGAAAAAUGAGAUAGAGGCACGCCUAUGGCGAGACAUAAAGGACAAUAAAAGAAAAAAAAAGGAAGAGAAGGAAUAAUAUAAAAAAUAAAUAAAAGAUAAGAAAAAGAGAUAUGCGGGAUGAAGUGGCCGGAGAAAGGUCAACGAUUGUGGGGUUGUCGGUGAUUAGUUGCCAUCGGCGAUGACCGUGGGCCAAUGCUCCCGCCAUUGGAGAUGCUGUGGACGAGAAAUAAGAAAGGACAGAGAAUAAAAAUAAAGAGAAAAGAAAGAGGAAAGAAAAAGAAUGGGAAAAAAAUAAUAAUCAAGGAUCAGUGAGUGGAGAAGAGAAUAUGGGAGAAAGGAAGAAGAUAAAAGAAAGUGGGAGAAAGGAAAGGGAAAGGUGAGGUGGCAGGUAUGGAGAGGAGAGAGAGAAGUUAAGGAUUUAGGGUUUUUUUUUUUAAAGAAAAAAAAAAAGAAAAUGGAUGGUAGGGAUGGGGUCUAGAGAUGAACGACCAGUAUUGGUUCUCUAAAGUAAGAAAUGGGCUUGGAACUUUGGCCCAAAAUGCAAAACAAAAAGGCCCACCAAAUUUAGGGGUCUACACAAGUGUAUAACCAUUAUCCUCGAACUAUCAUUGUCACCAAAUAAAGAACCCCACCAUGGGGGUGGUCACUCUCACUAUAGAUAUAUCUAGUUUUCUAUACACAAUUCCAAUUAAUAAAUAUUUUAUUUAGGAAAUGUUUCAAAGAAAUUUAUUUCCAUCAAAUUACUAAAUCUUUUGGUAGUAAUAUUUUAAUGAUAAAUUAUUUCUAAUGAAAAUUUUCAAAACAUUUAUUUUCCAAAAUGGAGACACUUGUAUAAUAAGGAAAUUGCCAAUUUAUGAGAUUUUGAAUAAUCUUGAGAGCACCUUAUCUAGGAAAGGAAUUUUUGCUUCUUAUAUUUAAAAAUCCUCAUAAGAUUAACUUUUCUUAUUCCUUACACUUUUCUAAUUUAAUAAAUAUUUCCAUGGAAAUUUCAUAAUAAUUUAUUCCAUUAAAUACUACCAAAAAUAGAACCUUUUAAUAAUUCCUUAAUAGAUAAAAUAUUCUCUAUGAAAAACUACCAAAAAUGUUUAUUUCCAAAAAUGAAUUAAGCAAUCCUUUUUCAAAAGUAUUUUCAAAAUAUUUUAUAUCUCCAUUAAAUUACUAAAACUUUCCAAAGUUAUUUUGGUAACCCUUCUUAUUAUAAAUUCUCGAUCAUAAGAUUUUUCAAAUCUAUUAUUUACUUUUAAACUGAGACUCCUGUGUUAAAAGAAUUGUUCUCUUAUUUUUUAUCAUUAAACUAUCCAAACGAAAUGGUUUUCUUCUUCUCUCUAGUGGGGAGAGCUUGGAUGACCAACCAUAGGUAUAUUUUUCCUUCUUUCACCGAGAAAUAACAAAAAAACCACCUAAAGUUUAAUAAACAGAUAAUCAUAAAGAAAUAACAAUCUUCUUAGCAACAACCAGCUUAAAUAGAUAAUCUUAAAAAAAUAUCUUCUCAUGAAAAUUUAAGAAGAAUACCAAAAAACUUUUCUUUGUGUUCUAAUACUUAUUUUGGUAACCAUUCUUAAUUAUAGAUUAUCCAUUAUGAAUUUUCAAAUUAACUUAUUUUUUUAAAAUUGGAAAUAGGAAAAAUACUAUUUUAUAAAGAUAUGAAAAAAUAAGAGUUUUUCCUUAAAAAAAAAAAAAAAUUAUUCUUAGAGAUCUCAAAGAUUUGAGAAUAUUUUAAAAAGGUAAGAAAGCUCUCAAUCGUUUUUCCAACUUAUCUUUUCUUUAAAAUAAAAAUUCCUAACCAUGCACAAUCCAAUUUAAAUAAGUUUUCCAAUUUUUUUUUUUAAAAACAUAAAAAUUUAUUUCCAAUUAAGAAUACCAAAAUAUCUUGAGGCCACAUAUGCAAUUAAUCAAAAGCAUAUAAUAAAAACAAGGGAAUAAAAAAAAUAAAAACUUUUCUCAUAGCCUUUAGGGAUCUUGUUGCAUAUUUGAUAAUUAAAAUUUGGAUAAAAUCCAAAUUACCAAAAAUAGUCCUACAACCAAAAAUAAGGUUACUGAAAAUAGAAAACCCAAAAGGCCCAAUUGCCACCAAAAUGAGCCCAAAAGGAGAGGAAUCAAAUUUAGUCUGAAAAACCAAAAAGAAUUGGACUCGUAUGCAAUCCUGUAACAACAUGCUCUUUGUGCAACAUUGCUUCAAUGGACUAUAUCUCCCUUGUUUCAACUCCAAAUUGCAAUUUGCUUGAACCAUUGGAUUCGUGACCUCCUAAGAUUCAAAUUCAUAUGUGGCCUGCCCCAAGAAACUACUAGGAGAUAGUUGUGAUUUUGAGUUUAAGUUAACGUCAUUGUGUUGCCAUGGAUCUCAAACCAAGAACUUCCAAGAAAGCUUCUUUUUUCUUUAGCUACCAUAGAAUCUCAAAAGGAACUUUCAAGAUUCCUUCUUUUCUCUUGGGUCACAUAAUCAGGAAUGGAUAUAAAAAAGGCUACUAGGCUCCUUUCUUUCUUAUCACAUCCAACCCUUAUCGAUAGCCCCCACUAGGACAUUCAAGUAAGUCGGGUUUUGAUCUGAUUCCAAAAUGAGGCAGUGUUACCAAUGACUCGAUACCCCGCUGCUACUGAAUGAAGUUCGUCCUUCUCUCAUUUCCCUAUAAUAAGAUGUUGACCUCCGUAGAUAAAUGCCCCAUAUAACCUCUCAUCUCCGGGGUUGGGUUGAAAGAACAAUCAAACUGGGUUAAGAGAAGUUUAUGAAUCGAGUGAAAAUGAAAAAUAAAAAUCGUAAAUAAAAAUGGGCCAAGUGUGUGAUGCAAAAACUGAAAAUUUUACAACAAUUAAAAAAAAUAAAAAAUCCUAUGCUCUUUUAAUGGAGUUUGCAACCCAUCUAUUGAAAAGAAAAGAUUUUUACAAUAAAAUAAAAAUCUUAUACCCCUUAUGGGGUGUACAACCCAAUCUAGAGAAUCAAAAGGCAUAAAUCAUAUCCAUUUAUAUUCCUUCAAAUGAAUAAAUAAUAAUCCAUCACAAUUAUAAUCAUAAUCAUCGUAUUGACAUUCAUUCAAUUGAACAAAUAAAUGUAUCCCAUUCAUUCAUCUAUUUAGACCAUGGGAUGAAUAAAACAACCCUGUAAAAUAUAGUGAACACACCUUAGAACAGAUCUAACAUGCUAAAACCUACCCUAGGGUUCUGAUACUAGUUGUUGGGAACCUCAAAUUACUCUAUUCCCAUGCCCUAGAUCACGUAGGGUGCGUGCAAAUAUAUCAUAGGCUCUUUAAAUCUAUCACAACAAAUAAAUUGGUAUUAAAAAACAAUAAGGAUACCAUAGAAAAACAUAAAUAUAGAGAAUAAAGCCACAUACCCUUGAUUUGGUUGUUCUCGGAUCAAUUCUAAUCGAUGUAGAUAGCUCCAAAGUCAUAAUGUAUCUUGUAAACAUUAUGAUCUUCUACCCGACAACUCUUCCUUGUGUCUAGGCAUUAAGAUGGUGGAGAUAUCAAGGGUAGAGUCUAGGGUUCUCUUUCUAAACUAAAGGGGAGAAUGACAAGACAUAAAAACCAUAACUCCUAAAGGGGUAUUUAUAGGCUUCCUACUAGGCUUAAGUGACUUAAGCCCACCAUGGGCUUGGGUCACUUAAUCUAGCCCAAAAAAUGUUGCUAAUUGAUUAAUUAACCAUACAAGACCCUAAUUUAUUAAUUAGCUUAGUCCAAAGAUACCACUCACUUAUCCCUAUGCAACCUUGUGUAAUAAAUAAAAUGCUCUUAUGCAUAAAAGUGAACAAAAACUCAUCUAACCUUCAUAAACUGUGCCAUCAAGGAAUAUGAGCUCAGAGUGGGGAUUAUUAGAACCCAUGUGAGUAUUAGCUCCUUCAAAAUCAAAUUCUGAAAUUGAUUCAAUAUCCCACUAUAGAAAGUUAAUUGCACUCUAGUACCCUAUGUAUAUUACAACGAGACACCAAGUGCUCAGGUUCGUGAUCUACUAUCUACUGUAUGCAGACUCCCCAUGAACUAGCGUCUGUAAUCUAACAAGAUAGUAUUAUUACCUCUCAAAUUCUUGAGUUAUAGAUUCCACUUAUUAUGUGAUCAAAUAACAUACUCUAAUUCCAAGGAGCACAUGUCAAAUCCUACUAAAGGAAUUACUGUGGUCACAGAUUUCAUGAUCACAUGUCCUUUGAAUCACCCAAUGAGACACAUUGCCUCAAUCUCAUAAGAUAUCGUGGUGCUUUUAUUGAGAAUACUUGUUGCCACUAGCCUUCAUCAAUAGUUACCCAAUCCAUAGAGAUAUAUGACCACUUUAGGGCCUCACCUAUAGAUCAAAACCCCUUGUUGAUUUUAGAAUAGGCUCAAAAUCCUCUCAAGGUUGAGAGUCCAUGUAGCAUAGUAGCUUGAUGAAUCAUGACAAUUGAUAGCCUUGCAUCAUGAUUCACCAUAUGUUUUAUCCAAUGUGCAUAUACUCACCAUGAGAAACACAUAUUGACGGCCAAGACAAGUUAUCCCUCUAAUUAGGAGGUGGCGUACUACAGUCUCUACGAGAUUGUCCAAAUCUAUGAACCAAUUAUAGACAACUUAUCUACUUAGAAGGAACCCAUGAAUUUUAUUUUCCGUGCAACUCCAAAUGUACUCAAGUCAUGUACAAUGUAAGAUUUAUGGAUUGAAUGCUCAAAUCAAUGUCAAUAUAACAUGAAUUGUUACAACAUGUCUUGUUUUUAGGGGUUCAAUCCUAACAAGUAUUACUUUCAUACACUCUUUCUCCUUAAGUAUCUUAAGACAUUGAUCUUGAGAAAAAAGAACUCUAUGUCUAAAGGGUAGAAAACCCUUUUUGGAAUCUUGCAUAGCAUAUGACUCAAGUGGGUUGAGAUAGUGUAAACUUCCUAUUCUUACAAUCUCUUAAGACCUUAAUCCAAGGAAUAAACUAUGUUUCUUUAGAUUUUUCAUCUGAAACUGAGUAGAAAACUAUAUCUUGGUUGAUGAUAAUAACCUUAUAUCAUUCCAAAUGAGUAAAAUAUCAUCAAAAUAUAGGAUCAUAAAGACCAUCAUGCUUCUUUACACAUUCCUAUACACACAACGUUCAUUUUUCAUUUUGAUGAAAGUCAAACGUUUUGAUGAAAGUCAAAAGUUUUGACCGCCUAAUCAAAAUGCUUAUACAGUGAGCAAGAUACUUGCUUUAAUCCAUAAAUGGAUUUCUGCAACUUGCACACCAAACACUUUUGGUAUUUUACUAUGAAACCAUAUAGUUGCAUCAUCUAAAUGGUCUUACUAAGAUAGUCAUUUAAGAAUGCUUUCUUGACAUCUAAUUUGUUUGUCUCAUAAUUGAGAUGUGUUGUAAUGAAUAGGAGUAUUCUUAUGGAUUUGAGAAUGGUGGCUAGUAAAAAAGUCUCUUUAUAGUCAAAACCAAAUUUUUUACUAUAAUUAAGUCUAACCUUUCCAUCUACUCCUUUCUUCCUCAAAUAGACCCACUUGCACCCUAUGGCUUUUAUGCCUUUAGGUGCUUCUACAAGCUUCCAAACUAUGUUAGAAUGCAUGGAUUCUAAUUUUGUAUCCAUAGCUCUUAGCCAAAAAGAUGCAUCAACAUCGCUCAUUGCUUCAUCAUAAUCUAUGAGAUAAAUCUCAUAUUCUUAUGAAAUUAUCUCAAAAGACUUAUCCUAAUACAUUAAUCGGUCAAGUUAUACAAAACCCCUACUAUGACGAGGCAUUAGUAUACUAAAAAUGUUAGAAGUGGUCGGUACUAUAUCCAUAGUAUUUUGUGCUAUUGUGGGAGUGUCAUCUAAUACUCUUCAAUCAAUAUUACUCCUAAACUUAUUACUUAUCAUAUAUUCUUCUUUAAGAAAUCUAGCAUUUGUACUCACAAAUACUUUUUAAUCAAUUUGAGUAUAAAAGUAAUGGCCUGUCUACCCAAUUCUUCCCUGGAGGAGAUUCGCAAUAACACCAUGGAAUUGACCAAGGAUUUGGUCCAUUCAAAUCUCUCUUCAACUUGCUCAACCAUGUAAGGCUCUAAGUUUUCUUGGGAAACUUCUACCAGAAGAUUUUUUCCAAUCAAUUAAGACAUUUGUAGUGGUGUUUGGAAUUUGAAAAUAGAUGCAUCAUAGAGAGUGAAGAUAGUGAGAACUGAUUUUGUUUAUCUUGGAUCAACACACUUUAAUGUCCUAUUGUUUGCCUUCUAUAAGGAUCCUAUCUAUGAGACUGUUGAACAAGGACUUGCUUUAGUCCUCCAUGGUUAGGAAGAUCUAAAUAUUUAUCAUGUUAGGAGAAUUCAAUGCUAAAACUUUUCCAAAUGAUGGCUCCAUUUUUUUUGGGGUUCUAAAAUCAAGAAGAAAAAAAAUAAUUAUUGAUUUAUUUCACUUUUUGAUAUAUAAAGAGUGGACAUGCUCAUCAUUUUUAUCAAUGACAAUCUUUAAAUAGGCCGCCUGGAGAUCAUUGUGGUAGAUUCAGUAGGUAAUAUUGUCGUGUUAAUCUGUCAAUUUAUGUAUAGCUAUCAUUGCCUCUUAAGGCGUUGAUGUCAUUUAGCUGCAAAGCUUGAAACCUUGUUUAGCCAUAGAAUUUCCCAUCAUAACUAUGACCUAACGUGGAAUUUAUAUUUUAUGCAAUUUUUUUCUUAUUCAAAGAUGUUUAAUAAAUUAUUCUUAUUACCUAUUAAAAUAAGGGGAAAUUAUGUUUUGGGAGGCCCAUUUGAAGGUAAUAUGCAAAUCAAACCCAAAGAAACUGGAAUAUAGGCUUUGUCCGUUAAUGACCAAAUUAUUAUUCUUUUUGUGCACUAUAUAUUGUUUCGGUGAGCUAUUCCAAAAUUGCCCUUUAGUUUUCCCUGUCAGCAACCACCGCGGUCUCCAUGUCAACAGCCACCGCACAAUUUAAUAAACAUUGAAAUGUCAACCGAUCUCCAUGUCAGCAGGCUGGUGUGCAAUUUUAGAAACAUUAAAAUGUGAAUAAUGAAGUUAUGAAGUCUGAAACCCACAAAGCACCCCGACCCAACAAACAUUUGAAACUUGAAGUUAUCUUUGUCACUUUCUAUCGUUUUGCCCUAACCAGAUCUUAGAAAAUUUCCAUUUUCAUAGCUCUUUUGAUACAUCCGAUUUGUUUAUUGAGAUCUUGAGCAGGCGAUCAAUACCCAUAUUUUGAAAGCCGGCUUCAUUUGAUUCUGCCCUAACCCUAGUGUGUCUCUUUACUAGUUGACGACCCAAACCCGAUAGGUUUUUUCCGAAAACCUUCAAGGAAGCCAAAAUCGAGGCAGAUCUUCGUAUUUCUUCAUCAAAUGUUGAUUUUUUAAAGGUUUAUGGAAACCGAAGUGGAGUUUCCUCAAUCAAUAACAGGUGAGUUUUCCAUUUAAGCAUUCGUUUGGGUGUUGAGAACAUAUUAGGGUUGAAGGUGUUAACAUGAGCAUCAGAAAAGAAACUAGUUUAAUAAUAGAUUGAGCAUCAGAAAAAAGGCCGGCUUUGGUACUUUGUUUUAGCUGUGAUUUUUUUUUUUUACUUUUUGAUGGGUAUUGUGAGGUUUUCUAUGUCAAUUGUUGGUUGGUUUAAGCAUUUGGGUCUUUUAGAUUUUGAGCAUUAACUUUUGGGUUGUCCACUGAUUAGGUUUUUAUCUCAUUUCAAAAUUGAAUUUGAGGUGUUUUUACUGUUUUGAGUAUCAAUUAUACUGGUAGGAGGUGAGCAAAAAAUCAUUAUAAAGUAAAGUUUUUGUAUACUGUGAUGUGGAUUUUUUUUUCGGGGUCGUGCGUUGGCUGGUUAAGCAUUUAGGUCUUUCAAAUUUUGAGCAUUGAUUGUUGAGGUGUCCAACAACUUGGCUUUUAUAUCGUUCCAUAAGUGAAUUUUGAGGUAUUUUGCCAUUUCAUGAUAUUGAUCAUCCUUGUAGUAACUGAGUAGAAAAUGAAUAUAAAUUAAAGGUUUUAUGUGGUGUGUUGUUGAUUUCAUUAUUGGGUAUUGAUUUUUAUUUGGUUUAAGAAUAUGGGUUUUCAUAUUUUGAGCAUUGAAAGUUUUGUUGUCCAAUGGCUUUGCUUCCACCCUAUUUUAGUAGUGAAAUUUGAUUUUUUUUUUGCUUCUUUUAGUGUUGAUUAUGAUGGUGGUAGGUGAGCAAGAAAUAAGUCAUUGAGUAUAAAUCAAAGGUUCUCUCUAAUGUAUUAUUGAUUUAUUUUUUUGGUGUUGAUUGCUGGCUGAUUUAUCAUUUGGGGAUUCCAUAUUUUGAGUACUGAUUGUUGGGUUGUCCAACGAUCUGGAUUUAAUCUGGUGUUAGAAGUGAAUUUUGAGGUGUCUCAUUUUAGUAUUGAUUAUACUGUUGUUCAAUGAGCAAGAAACGAGUAUAAAUUAAUAUACUGAAAAAAUCAUAUUAGUUUAAGUGCUUGUGUAAUACAUGCAUAAUAAAUCUAAAUCUAGAAGAUGAAAUCUUGAAUUAGAAUUCCCAGGAUGGAUGAGCUAACAUGUUAUAUCUUGAUAUCUAGACCUACAAUGAGAGAAGGAAUGCAAUAUUUUAUCGAAAAAUUAAAUCCAUUAUAGAAUAGGUUUAUGGAUCUUAAUUAAAUAUGGAUGAUCAAAACAAACUAUUUUACAAAAAUCAGUGAUGAUCAAACCUCACUUUAUUUUCCCAAUGCAACAAAACCAAGCAAAGUUGUGAAUUCAUAAUUUCGGUUUUCCAUAAAUAAAAUAGGAAUCAACGAAUGGUAUCAUUUCAAGUCAUAUAAUUACUGGUAGACCUACAUUGUGAAAGGUCUGCUUGCAUUGUAAAGAAGCCUAGAUUGAAAAAAAAAUUUAUAAAUAAAAAAGUAUACAUACUCACACCUAGAUUUUUAAUUUCAAGUUUUAUUUGUAAUGUGCUAUUUAGGGUUUUGUUUAUUUAUUUCAUUUGUUUUAAAGCUUCAAUUUGCAUAAUGUCUUCUCUUUAUGAAUUGUGAUUAGGUAAAGUAUUUGAUAACUCUUGUUGAAAUUUGAGUUUUAUAUUUCUUUAAUGUUCCAUGUGAGAGUUUGAGCAUCAUGCCACUUAAAAUUUUUUGAAGUGAUCAGCAUGAUUUUGUAAAGUAUAUUACUGUUUAUUUUACUUUUUCUCUCCUUAAUUGCUAAGGGACUAGCAAUAUGUCGGUUGGGGGGAGUGAUUACUACUCAAAAAGUGUUAUUUUGUACCUUGUAAUUAACUCUUUUAAACACUUUUGAGUAGUAGUUAUUACCUUUUAACUCAAUUAGCAUAUUAAGUACCUUUGCAAUCGUUUCUAAUCAAAUUGUGUAAGUUUUGGUGUUUUUGAUAGUAUUUUGAUCACCAAAGAAAUCCAAGAUUGAGGAGAAUUCUAUGGAAUCCAUGGCAAAGCAAUUGGAAGCUCAUUAACAUAAAGAAUCUAAGCUUUGAAGUUUUAUAGUCCUUUGCCAUAAGCAAAUCAUGAAUGCAAGGAGAGAAAGCAAAGAGAGAAAUCUAACAUGAAGAAUUCAAGAAGAUAGCAACUGUUGGACACUUUUGGAGCACUUCCUGGAGCCCAUUUGAUGCAUAAUAUAUGUCGUUUUGAAGCUCGGGAAGUCAGCAAUCCAACGCUUUAAACGGUACAUGAAUCGGAGUUGAAAUGAAGAAGUUAGAGCCAUUGGAAUCCGAUCACACCAAGCUGAAGGCCAAUUUCGCAGGCUGCGAAAUCAGCCUUUGGUUGCAAAAUCACAAGAGGAUGGCUGCGAAAUCAGCCUUUGGUUGUGAAAUGGUGACCUUCAGCUUGCGAAAUUUUGCAGCCAUCUUGCAUGCUUAGGAAAUCCUCCUGAGUGCUUCCAGAUAUUUGCGACCGACACUUUUAGAUUUUUUUCUUCAGAUAUUUGAUGUUUAAAUCCCCAUUUUCUCCUUGUAAUCCACCAAUCAUAGGAUUCCUUGGUUAUUAAGUAAGAACAAAGGGUGAAUAACCUUAUAUAUAUUGUUUGUAAUUUUCAUUACACAAAACAUCUCGGGAACUUGUUCUCAGAGACAUCUUUUAUAUAGUUUUGAAGGAAGUAAAAUACAGAGCUUUGCUCUGCCUUACCUACUCAAUUUGAUUGUAUUUUUCUUUCUAUCCAAACAAGCUCUAAGGAUAUUUCCUCAGAGAAUGAGUGGCUAGACUUUUUGUCUCUUGGAGCUAAGGUAGCUGGGUAAGGUCUCGAGUGCAAGAAUUGGUAGUUUUGUUGUUUCAGCUAUUAAGGAAGAGAAAGUGUGACCCGUUAAUGGUUUCUAUGUUUUUAGUUAACUUAAAACGCCUUUAAUUCACCUAGGCCAACACUUGGUAAGGCAAGUGAUCUCCGUCCAUUGAGAUGCACUAGUUUACCUCUUGCGAGCCUUUGGGAGGUGACUCGAAGGUAGGAUUUUCUAGAAUUGCCAACACUUGGUAAGCUUUUGGACUCUAAGGAGACAUCCAUUAGUUAUCUCUUACGAGCUUGAGAAGGGAAGUCCAAGGUUAAUGAGCACUUUGAAUGGUAAAUGCUAGGUGAGAGGCACGAGCCAUUGCAAGUUGCAUCAGUGAGAGAGAUUUAGUGUUUGAAUCCAAUAACGGGAAGCAUCUGUACAACACCGAUUAGAGAAAUAACUAUAUGUUAAUUCUCUAAUGCGAGGAAAAGAUUCAAGUGACCGGAGCUUUGUUUUUGCAUGAGGAGUCUGACCCCAGUGAACCUAAAACUCCAAGGAACGCUUUUCUUCAUAAGUAAUUCCCAUUACUUUCUUUUUAGUUAGCUUAAAAUCUAUCAUUUUUCAAUCAAAGUUUAUGUUUUCUUUUGAAGCUAACCUUGAAAUGAAAAAAACACCAAUUCAACUUUGAAUUGGUAUCAGUUGUAAGUUGAAAACCCUUCCCAGUGAACGAUCCUAGAGCCACUAUGCUAUAUUAGCUAAGGCUAUCCUAGUGCAUGGUGAUAUAGGUUAUAAAUUUUGUUGAUUACUCCUGUUUGAGGACCAAACUCAAGGUACACCAGCUAGGCACGCAAUCAAUGUCAAAAUUGUUGUGAUUCAUGAUGACAGAGAUGUGUUUUUAGUUUAUUAGUACAUUACUUCGCAGGUACUUAGGUAAUUCAAACCUCUCUAGUCAUCUGGUACUUGAACUUGGGCAGCUAGAGUAUCUACAAUAUCUGUAUUUUUUCUCUUUGAUUGUUUAAUGUAGAAAGAUUGUGAUUCCUUAGUUUUUUAUUCUAUGGUUUGUCUUGCAAUAAUCUAUGGUAUGUUGAGAGAGUCAUUCGAGUUCUUUGAGUGUGGGAUGAUUGGAUAUUUCUUUAUGAACUAAGAUAUGGAAAAUCACCCUUUAAGAGUUUAGGAAUGAUGAUCUAUUAUGGAGCCUUAGGAUCCCUACAAAAUCUACUUUAAAUUUCCAGGAAAAAAAAUGUGAUUAGGGGGCUAUUAAUUCAAGAGCCCCCCAAUAGAUUAGGAUCUAAGGAACUCACACAGAGAUCUAGCAACACCCAUUCUUCUGGGUCUGAAAUGUGUUACGAUGUGUUGUGCAAUGCCACAAGAGUUUCCCAUCUAUGCGAUAUUAGAAAUAGAACUUGAGUUAUGGUUUCCUAACACCAGUGUAACUCUAAUUGUUGCUCCCAAAAAGGAGGCUACUAGUAUAACAUGCAGGAGAGUAUAUACAAAGUUUGAGUAUUUUUACCUCAAACAUCUCUACCAUGGGAAAGGUUUGGCUUUCUUUUCUUAGUUGAGUCUCAUUCUUAUUGUAAUGUUUAUUAUAAUGAAAUGAUGAAAAGAUGACAAAUAUUGUUGGGGUAAAUUGUUCAGAAAAGUGGCAGCAUGUUAUUUAAAUAUAUGAAUAUGGAACUGGAAACUCAGACUCCAAACAGGAAACAAAGGAAGGGAUAACAUUCUCUUAACAUUUAUGAUGGGCCCAUCACAUAGGGUUCCUUCUCAGUCACCCCAUUGAAAUCUAUCCAACAUAAGACACACCCUUAAUAAAAAACAAAAACAAUAAUAAAUGAAAAAAGAAAAUAAGGACAACAUAGUUUACCCUUGAACAAUGGAAUCUUUGAGAGCAUUUAGUAAGUUCUUAUAAACUUCACUAGAGAGAGUAUCAUCUAACAAAAUUGCUUUCAAUUUCUUAACUUCAAUGGAUAGGGUCAUUCAUUAUUAACUCGAUGAACGAAUUUGUUGCAUUAAACAAAUUGAUUUCAAAAAACCUAUAAUCUGGGAUGUAUUGAAAUCUUUAUCAGGAUAUGAUAGACUUUUGACUUUCGAAUGAAGGUCUAGGUAUAAACAAAUUAGGCCAAGGUUUACACCCAUAAAGUUAAUAUAGUAAGUUACGUACAUGGGAGUGAGAGUGAUAGAGUAAGUGUAAAAUAAGGAUGUCCCUCUUUGUUAUGUGGGAUCAUUUAAUUAUUAAUGUCUUCUCGAUGGUAAAAAGUAUAGUUCGAUAACGGUUGUAGGAUGUAAUUAUUUUUUUAAGAUGAUGAAGAAUGAAAGUGGAAAGAAACAUAGAAAAUGGUUUGGAGAUGAGGACAUAGGAAUGGUGGAUAGGAAGUAAGCCACCAUUCUUAUUCCUUAAGCAACUUCAUGGCAUUAGAUUAUAGAUACAAGGAUAUAUUAGGGAUUUGAUUAUAGAAAGGGGGCCUUCAUUCCCUUCUUCCACCUUUCCUCUUUGUCUUUUGUUUUGCUAAAAAAAAUUCUUACACGUUAGCUAAGCAUCACAUGCCCCGAGGAUGACCCAUUUCUGACCUCUCUCUCUAGUCCUUCUUUUUCUCUUUCCAACAUCAUUAUAUUCAUACAUAAUCAUAAUCCCUAUUUACUUUUGUUGUCGUUUUAUUUGUAACAAGUUUCUAUUUAAUUAAGGAAAUGGAAGAGGACAUGUUCUGCUACAUUCAUGAAGGCGGUCAACUAGUUAAAUGUGCUGGUGGGUCUGUAGAAUAUCAAGGUGGUCGAACCGAAUCCAUGGUUGUUAGUUGGAAUAUUUCACAUAGUGAUUUCAUUUCAAAACUGUGUGAUGAGCUGCACUUUGACUGAAGUUCUAUCAAAUUGGAAUUCACGGUCAAGUUUGACCCAUCAUGUCUACUACCGUUGCAUGAUGACGUAGUCAUACUUAAGAUGUUCAGAUUCAACGAAAUGUUUUAUCGAGUCUAUGUCUCAUCAUCAAGUGAAGUUAUUGCAGCCUAUAUAGCACUGACUAGGUACUUAUAGCCUUACCAACAUCACAUACACUUUGUCCAUUAACUUUUGAAAUAUAUGUAGAUGGAUGAAUAAUUUUUAUUUGUAGUGCCCCUACUCCUAUUGUUGGUUCAAAUUCGGCACAUGUACUUUCCUCCGAUGGUGAUCCGCCAAUGGAUAUCUGUAAUGACUCUCUUACAAUUGAGUCAUAUAGGUUUUCCCAAAGAUAUGCUGAAUUAAAUAUACUCGAACGUGAUUCAAGGCGGUUUGAAAAUUCCAUUAUGGGUAGUGGACAUACCUUCCCCAAUGUUACCGAGUUCCAUGAUGACGUGUAUUUGAUGUCAAUUGCUGGUAGAUUCCGUUAUUGCUUCAAGAGAAAUAGUACAAAACACAUGGCAGUUGUUUGCACAGUUAAUGAAUGUCCUUGGAAAGUCACUGCUCGUGCAGUUGGUGAAUCGAACAUCGUUUAGGUUCACACUUUUCAAAACCUCCACAAUCAUAGUUUGGAAGAUGUUGCCACAUGCCAACCUUUAGUGAGAUCCAAUCGUGCCUCAUUGCUUAUUGAUGAUGUCAUACAGUCCACUCCCCAUUACCAACCCUGCCAAAUUUGUAAGGACUUUCAAAGGCAACAUAGGAUGCAAUUGACGUAUCUUCAAGCAUGGAAUAUUAAGGAGAAGGCAAAUGAGCGCAUUUAUGGAGAACCCAAAUAUUAUUACAAAUUGUUGCCUUGGAUGUAUGAGAAAAUGGUUGCAACAAAUCUAGGAAGCAUUAUUGAGUUGAGACAUUUAAGUGAUGGGCAUUUUGAGUAACUCUUUAUUGCUCAUUCGGUAUCUAUCCAAGGGUUUGAAAUGGGGUGUCGGCCAAUCAUUGCUAUUGACUCCGCCCAUAUGAGUGGGCCAUAUAGGGGUGCAUUAUUUUCAGCCACUGCAUAUGAUGCAAAUGACUCCAUAUUCCCCUUAGCCUUUGGCGUGAUGAGCUCAGAAAAUUAUGGCAAUUACUCUUGGUUUUUGCAAAACUUGAAAAAGGUUGUUGGAGAUAAGGAAGUCGUUAUUAUCUCGGAUAGACAUCAUGUUCUCCUUCAUCGUGUUCCUGAAGUGUUUGGGCUUGAAAACCACGCCUACUGUUACCGUCACUUGAAGGAAAAUUUCAACUCUUUUUUGAGCAAACGUAACACAAGAGGGAACAAAGGUAAAGAAAAUGCACUCCAAUUCCUUGAUAGUAUUGUCUAUGCAAGGUUAGAGUACGAUUACAAUGUUUUCGAGGUUGAACUACGGAAAUACAAUGACACUUUAGCCACAUGGGUUGAAGAAAAUGCACCCAAACAUUGGGCUAUGUCAAAAUUCCCAAAACAAAUAUGGGAUAAAAUGACCACAAACCUUGCCAAGUUGUUUAAUGCUUGGUUAAGGAAUGAAAGACAUCACUCCAUUUGUGUCUUUCUAAUGGAGCAUAAAGGUAGUACCUAAGGUACAUUAAGGUAGUACCUAAGGUACAGUCCCAAAAAACCAAAGGUGGACCACUUGACCACAUAAGAGAACCACAUAAUGGCAUGGUCUAAGGGUNNNNNNNNNNNNNNNNNNNNNNNNNNNNNNNNNNNNNNNNNNNNNNNNNNNNNNNNNNNNNNNNNNNNNNNNNNNNNNNNNNNNNNNNNNNNNNNNNNNNGGUAGACCCCAACUUUAGCUAAGGUAGUACCUAAGGUCCCUAAAGGUAGUACCUAAAGUACAUUAAGGUAGUACCUAAGGGCUCUUAAGGUAGUACCUAAGGUACAGUCCCAAAAAACCAAAUGUGGACCUCUUAACCACAUAAGAGAACCACAUAAUGGCAUGGUCUAAGGGUCACAAAAGAAGGCCUCGUUUGGGAAAGUUAGACCCCAGUUUUAGCUAAGAUAGUUCCUAAGGUACAAUCCCUAAAAACCAAAGGUGGACCACUUGACCACACAAGAGAACCACAUAAUGACAUGGUCUAAGGGUCAUAAAAGAAGGCCCGAGGCUUGGGAAAAGUAAACCCCAACUUUACCUAAGGUAGUACCUAAGGUCCCUUAAGGUAGUACCUAAGAUACAAUCCCAAAAAACCAAAGGUGGACCACUUGACUACACAAAAGAACCACAUAAUGGCAUGGUCUAAGGGUCACAAAGGAAGACCCAAGGCUUGGGAAUGAUAGACCCCAACUUUAGCUAAGGCAGUACCUAAAGGCUCUUAAGGUAGUACCUAAGGUUUAAUUCCAAAAUACCAAAGGUGAACCACUUGACCACACUAGAGAAUCACAUAAUGGCAUGGUCUAAGGGUCACAAAGGAAGACUUGAAGCUGGGGAAAGGUAGAUCCCAAUUUUUGCUAAGGUAAUACCUAAGGUAUAUUAAGGUAGUACCUAAGGGCUCUUAAAGUAGUACCUAAGGUACAGUCCAAAAAAUCAAAGGUGAACCACUUGACCACAUAAGAGAACCACAUAAUGGCAUGGUCUAAUGGUCACAAAGGAAGGCCCGAGGCUUCGAAAAGGUAGACCCCAACUUUUGCUAAGGUAAUACUUGAGGUACAUUAAGGUAGUAUCUAAGAGCUCUUAAGGUAGUACCUAAGGUACAUUCUUAAAUAACCAAAGGUGAACCACUUGACCACAUAAGAGAAUCACAUAAUCGCAUGGUCUUAAGGUCAUAAAUGAAGGUCCGAGACUUGGGAAUGGUAGACCCCAAGUUUAGCUAAGGUAGUACCUAAGGUCCCUUAAGGUAGUACCUAAGGUACAUUAAGGUAGUACCUAAGGGCUCUUAAGGUAGCACCUAAGGUACAGUCCGCAAAAUAACAAUGCCACUUACAACCUUUUGCUCUUGUUAGAGCUCGCUAAGUCCACUUACAAACUUUUCCAUGCUAAGGCCACUUACUCUUUGGCUUUGAUUUCCAUAUUACCUUCAAAUGGGCGACUCCAAACACAACUUUCCCAUUUUUUUUAAGCCAUAGAAAUUUGCAUGUUAAAACCAUAAUUUUUCUCCCACGUUUUAAAAUUCCCAUUUGCGAGACCUUUUUUUUUUUCGUUUUGACUCUUACCACAUUAUAAAUGCAACACACAAAUUACUUGCAAGACUACUUAAAAAAUAACUUAUGCUUUUAGCUGGACCUAGUAUUUUUUUUAAAUUUUCUUUUUAUUCUUUAUGCAAUAUAAAAAUUUUAAGUUACACUGGAAACCAACUGAAUCCACAAAUACAAGGAACUCUUUCACUCUUCAGUCAUAAAGUAUUCACAAAUCAAAAUACCAACUCCUAUUGAAAACAACAAGCUCUUUCAAUAUGCUAUACCACACACAACAACUGGAUACCAGAUUUCUAUGCAUUUGAAAAGGUUGAUUAAAUCUCUUAACUCUUCCACAUAACUCCUUUAAACAAUAUGAGGAGCUUACCUGCCAUACUGCCAUAUCUAAACCUUGAAUUUAUGAUAAAUAUCCACAAGUUUUCUUAGAUGUAUCAACCUAGGAUCAACUAAUCAAAAUAUUCACUCAUAUAUUAUAUAUAAGAGGCAAAAAACAGAACAUGACUUCUAAACAAAAUUAGCACCAAGUCCAUGAUUUCCUGAUAGCAACCCAUUCUAGAAUGAGUUAUUCCCUCACAUGAUUUCUGGUACAGAUGUUCUCAAAGAAUUCAUACUUAACCAUCCUAGAAAACUAUUCCCAAUAAAAAUAAAAAUAAAUCCCUAAUAUGUUCCUGUACAAUUUGCAGUUCACACAAAGCAAAAACCACUGUCUUGUACGAAACCACAAAUUGCAACACAAUUAAUAAAAGAAAAAAGAAACAAAUAGAAAAACCCCACAAGAAUGCAGUAAAACUAUCAUUCAGCAAAUUCUGAAAUAAAAAAGAAACAAAUAGAAAACCCCACAAAAAUGCAGUAAAACUAUCAUUCGGCAGUUUUGGAAAUAAAAAAGAAACAAAUAGAAAAACCCCACAAGAAUGCUGAAAAACUAUCAUUCAGCAAUUUUGGAAAUAUUGUAAACCAACACCAUUAUCAUUCAAGCUUCUGAAGUAACCCAUGAUGAGAGCAAGAAGAUCAUAGAACACUUCGAAAAUAAUCCAUACCCACUGAAGAAAAACAUGAUUCACGGAGACCCACAUACCUCAUGCCCCUCAUCAAUGAAAAGUCUGUAAGCCAUGUUCGGGUGUUUUCUUUGAUUGGGUUUCAGAUUUCAUAACUUUCCGGUUCACAUUUGAGUGUUUAUUAAAUGGGCAAUUUUGGAUAUCGGUGGCUACUGACAUGGAGACCGUGGUGGCUGCUGAUAGGGAAAACUAAAGGGCAAUUUUGAAAUAGCUCACCGAAAUAGUAUAUAGUGCACAAAAAGAAUAAUAGUUUGGUCAUUGACGGACAAAGCCCAUAUUCCAGUUUCUUUGGGUUUGAUUUGCAUAUUACAUUCAAAUGGGCCUUCCGAAACACAACUUUCCCUUAAAAUAAUCUAAAUAAUAUUUCUCUUGUGAAAGCCCAAGCAUUCUUAUUGUUCUUCCUCUUUCUCCUCUUUAUCAGGCAUUUUAUUAGCAAUUGAUUAUGCAUCUGAAUUUUUUCAUCAACUCCUAGGAGUUCAUUGACGGUCAGCGCUUGGUAACACAUGCCUAUAUGUCUCACAUGUUUGGGUUGAGAGCAAAGCACUUAGGUCUUCACAAAGCAAUUUGUGUUCUGUUGGGAUGGAACAACAUUGUGCCCCCAGACACAAUAACAUGGGUUCCUCAUGUCUUACUUGGUGAUGAAGCUUUGAAUCAGAAAGAGGACCUCAUUCUCUGGCCACCACUUGUCAUCAUCCAUAAUAUUUCUAUUUGGAACAGUGAUCCAAAAGAAUGGAAGCUUGUAACCACUGAAGCGCUUGGGGCUUUUCUCAGAGGUUUGUGACUAACUUUUGGUUAAAUAAUCAUGUUGAGUUGGUUUACAACUGAAUUUAAUUGGAGGGAAUGCAAUGCAUAUAAAAAAUAAGAAUGCAAUUUAACCUAUUCUUGACGAGCAACACAGGAUGAGAAAUAAGAGAUUAUCAUUAUUGUCAGAUAAUAAGUCUGACCAAAAAGACAAGCUCAUUAUCAACCAACCCAACUUAAACUCGACCCUAAUAAACUUGUUGAACAAACACGUUGAAUCCUGCCCCAUUUGAUGAGAAAACAUGGCUAACCUUAUGAUGUAAUUCUUAUUUUGCUACUUGAAAAUUAUCAGUUUUAAAAAACUUAGAAGACUAAUGCCCUUAUACUUUCAUGGGAGUGAACCUCUCAGUAUCCUGAGCAAAAGCCUUUUCUUUUUUUUUCUUUUUUCCUUCUGAUCGUUGACUACUUGUUUUUGUGAAGAUUCUUCAAAAUGCCCUGGUUGCUUCCUUCAAGUCUUCACACCAUUAGAAAUCUGUAGUGCCCUUGCUGUGAUUUGACUAUUUCAUUCUUAUUCCCAAGUCUCAAUAUUUUCCUUUCCUUCUUUUAAAUCAACCCAAGAAUUUUACAAAUUUGUCUUAUUUUUGUAGUAGUUUCUAUAUUGGUUUUGAUUUGGAAGUGAGGAUGACUUCACUGAAAAUGUACAAAUUAAGAAAAAUUACAAAUGAUAAGCUCUUGAAAUUUACAAAAUUCAAGAUAAAUACAAGGCAGCCACUUCUCAUUCCGUCAUCUGUAAAUCACACAUACUUGUGUAUGCAAAUGAAGAAGAAACAAUCAUUUUCUGAAACUUUCCUUUACCUCCUUUGGAAGUCAAGGAACUUAAUGCCAUAGGCAAAGACAAAUAAGAAGAGGAGGACCCAACCAAUAUGAGCCAAGGCAACCGCUCCCAGGAAAUCAUAUUCAAAGCCUAAAGCCUCCUUAAGAUACUGCUUCACUGACAUGUCAUCUGCUCCGGGUACCUGAACUGGAUCCUCCUUGUCGCCCACCUGAGAUGUCACUAGUCCGUAGAUGGUCCAAGCAACAGGGGAAGCCCAGUAGUACCACCUCCACCAUAUUGGUAUUUGCUGCAGAUGUACAGUUUGUUAGAAUUCAGUAUUCUUCUACAAAAACAUACUCAAAUUCUUCGUAGGCAUACGCACCAUCCUAUGGAUGAGAAAGCCAGAGAAGAGAUUCCAAAAGCUUAGGAAGAAGGACAUAACAAUGGCAGCAAUUUGAUGGCUGGGAGUGAGUGCUACAAUCAUCAUUCCAUACAAUGUGAAGUAAAUAAAGCACAUGAAUAGGUAGUAGUAGAACCAUAAGAACUUGUCCACUCGCCAGUAGAAUCCCAUCAUAGAGUAGAGGAGAAAACUGUAAAGACAAGUUUGGAUGGCAACGUAAAUUGCCUCUAUGGCCACCUGCAGGGCAUCCGAAUACAAGAUUAGUUUAAAGUUAAGCUCUACUAGAAAUGUGUAUCUGUUUCACAUUUGUUUUGUCAAAAGGCAACCUGGGCAAAUGCGUAAGACAAUGCUGAAUACAUCCCAGCUGCCCUUUCACGGUAGAAGACUGUUCUCUCAAUUGCCACAACAGGCUGCACUGCGGCAGUGUUGGUGGUUCCAAGGAAGAAGACAGCUGAAAACAUAGCUCCCAGCAGAUUUAUUAGGUCUUGUUCUUUGUCUCUGCAUACAGUAGUUGGGGUGUUGGUUCACAUUUUUUCUUAAUUAUUAAUGGAGAAACACCAAAAUAAUAAAUUUGCAAUACUUACGUCUGCUUUCCUUUGUUCCUGAAAAUUGCUCCAAAUAGAACACCAAUAAUUAUGGUCAAGAAGAGCCGGAUAGCAUUAUAGGGAGGAUUCCUCCAAUAAGACCAGUGCUGUUUCCAGAAGCAAGCCUUGCAUUGGGUAAUAAAGCUUUGAGAGUAUUUGGUGGGGAAAUAAAGGUUUUUGGAUCCUGGUGAUGGUGUGCUGAUCACUUUGAUGAGUUCCUGAUUCCUCCUACAACAAAAGGUGGAGUGUAAUAAGUCAUCGGAAAAAGAAUUGAGACAGAAAGAUGAAGUUCCAAGGAAUCAUAAUCCACUUACUGAUAGAGUUCAGAUUUAGCAUAAAUUUCCGCAAAAUCCACACCAAGUUGAGCCUCAACUGCAGCAGAGCUGACCUCCAGCAUCCAUGUAGCAGGAUUUUGACCAUCUCUGACUUUAGGAACCCCCGGGACAGCCUGCAGCAAGUUAUAGAUAUGAUCAUGACACACUCCUUAUAAGUAUAACAACGGAGAUGGAGCAAGUUCACGGAAGAUGAAUAAUGCUCACUUCAAAGUACUCUACAAGCUUGUGAGAAUUGCGACCAAGAGGUCCAGCAUAAAUGAUUUGUCCUCCUCUCUUCAUCAGCAAUAGCUGCAGGCAAAAAUGAUGUUGGAUUGAAGAAAGGAAUGGUGACUCCAUGAUAAUCAUAUCAAUAAGAAGUAUUAGAUACAAAACCAUGAAACUAAGAAAUACCUCAUCGAAAGCUUCAAAGAUGUCUAUGCUUGGCUGGUGAAUGGUGCAGACAACAGUCCGCCCUGUAUCCACUAUGUUUCUAACAGUACGCAUAACAAUUCUAGCUGCUCUAGCAUCAAGGCCUGUCGUUGGCUCAUCCAUGAAGAUGAUGGAGGGGUUAGCAACCAAUUCUACACCAACUGUCAGCCUCUUCCUCUGUUCUGUUGAAAGCCCAUCUAUUCCCGGAAGGCCAACCAAAGCAUUCCUCAGGGGGUGAAGCUCAACCAAAUCCAUUACUUCCUCAACAAACAUCUGUAGCACGGAAGGAACAAAAGAAAAGAACUGAUGAAUAUAGCUUGUAGUAGGGUGAAACUAAAUGAAAAAUCAUUCAUUUGAAAAAGGACAUGCCUGCCUUGUUUCCUUCUUGACAUCUGGAGCAAGGCGCAGCCAGGCUGAGUAAACAAGAGAUUCAUAAACAGUUACAUGUGGAGAAUGUAUAUCAUUCUGUGCACAGUAACCACUAACACGAGCGAAAGUUGCUUGGUCUUGGGGGUAACCAGAAAUGCUGAUUCUUCCUUCAAUGUACCCACCAGUUUUCCUUCCUGCUAACACAUCCAUCAAAGUGGUCUUUCCAGCACUACUAACACCAACUAAUGCCGUUAGAAUACCUGGCCUGAAAGCACCGCUAGCAUCCCACAGCAGUUGGAGACGAUCUACUUCAAUUCCUUGGCUCUUCAUUUCCUGUGAUUGAAUCCAGAAAAAAGUUUCAAAUCUCUAGACCAAGAUCAUAUCCUAACAUAUAUAUUAGUCUCACUUGUGUGUCUAAAUACUCAAAACAAGUUACUUACGGCAGGCAUAUCAACAUAGUAAUUCACAUGCUCAAAUGCAAGUGAUAAGGGCUGGAAGGGCAACACCAUUUCCCUUUUAGUAGGCUCAUGAUUUGCAUCUUUGACAACUGAUUUGGUGUUUUCUCCAGUGUUCCUUACUUCCAUAUCAAUACCUGUUACCAUAGACCUAAUAUCAGCUACCAGAUAAAGAAAAUCUGAUAUUUAUGUUAUUUGUAAUAUCUGGUAUCACUAGCCUCUUCAAGAAGUGAUUAACAAAAAUUUUGUGAGGGUCAUGUAAAAAGCUGGUGUAUCCUAGAGAAGGAGAACCAAUAGCAAGAAGCAAGUUUUAUGCAAUAUAAUUUCUCAAGAGCAAGCUCAGAAAUUGUAGCAACAUAAUAGUUGAUGAAACAUUAUUAAUUGCAACAUCUUUUCCUCUCUGCAAAGGGAUAUUUGCAGCAUGUUUCAGAAGAAAUAGAUCUCAAAACUUAUCCUUUUUGUCCCAACUUUUUGAAAUCUAUCUUGACAUCCACCACUUUGUUAUGCUUGAGUUUUAAGCUAUCAUACUACUGGUUUUCGGCAUUGAUAAACCACUCAGUUUAUUGAAAAUGAACACCAUAAGGUGGCAAUGAGAGGGGAGUUGAUUCAAUUGAAAAACUAGAUAUUCAAUUGAAAAACUAGGCAUUGAUAACCUAAUGCUUGGUUAAUAAAAUAUAUAGAAACGCUAGAAGACAAACAAACAACAAAAAACCAGAGGAGACCAAAGUAGGAAAAAUCUUGAACCUUGAGGCAUUGGGGCAACAGAUGCUGAAUUUCUUUCAGCGGUGGUCAUUUUAUGCUCUUUGUUAGAGUAAAACUGCUUCUCACUCUUUUUUUCAUCAUCCUCAUCAAUAAUGACAGAGUUUGAGCCUUCCAGAGCUGCAUUUGAGUUUCAGAAAAUUGUCAAAACUAGAAUCUUAUUUAAAUAAUACCCAGUUCUGACUGAUGGAUGAUAAUUCCAUGACUAAAACCUUUGGAGGGAAGGAAAAAGGAAAAUGUAGGUUAGCAUAAGCAAUAACUUACGGUUCAAAUAUGUCAGAGCUGCAAUGAAACAGAUAUUGAAGAGCAGAGAAAACCCCGUGAGUGCACCAACACAAAUCCAAUACCAAUAUCCAUCCACAAACAUGCCUCUUUCCUUGAGAAGAGCUUUCCCAACUGUGGGUUCUGGAAUUCUUCGAUUGAUGUUGGGCUGUGCCAAAAACCGAGUAGUGUAUACAAAGACAGACCAAGUAAUGAAGGUAGAAAUGCCCAAGCUUAAAACAAAGUGAGAAACAAUCAUUCAAAAGCUACUAGGAAACCUUACCGCACUCCAUCUGUCAUCAAGAAAUUCAUUGAUGACAAGCGCAUUUUGUCCAUACGUCAUUGGAGAAGCAUAAUAUGCCCAUAUCAUCCAUGGUUCAAUAUCAUCUGAGGAAGAAGGAUAAACAAAUGGUUUAUUAGAUUAUCACUCAUAUGAUAUAAUCACAUGAAGAGUGCCCCUCUCCCUUUCCAUUUGAAAUAUGGCAUCAGUGUUGCAAAAACAAUCAGCUCGCAUAGCAAAAAGACACAAAAUACUGACCUUUGGAUACAAUGAAUCCACCCCGAACAAAAACCAGUAGUAAUGUAAAGGUAGCAAGGGUGUUGGCCACAAUCUGUGUUCUUCCAAGUGCUGCAAUGAAGCGGAAGAGAGACAAAGCCAUCUGAUGCACGAGAAAUAAUGCCACUAAUUGACGGAAAAACCUGAACAAUUUUCAAGUCUUGGGUUGUUACAGUUCCAUUUGUGAAUGCUAAAACACAAGUCAGGAAGAAUGGAGGUCCAUUCACAUACCUACUAGCAGAAGGGGCAAACCCAAUAGUGUAAUACGUGAGAAUGAUCCAUAUCCCUGACUCCAUGAGUGACAAGGGGAUCCUAAGGACCCAAAUUGGUAAUGCAAAAGCCCAUGCCGGGUAAAACAAUAAGUCCCUCUGCUUAAAAAACACUGGGAGCCUGAAAAUAGUCAAUGCAAGCUCUGCCAUUCCGUUAUACAUUACAUUUAUGAGACCAUAAAACAGAGCCCCAUUGAAUUUUACUCCAUCUUGCAGUUGGCCAUGCUUCAUUUCUGUUCUGAAGAACACUGUCAUGGCAAUUACUGACAUGAUUGUAAUCUGGGUUGUCUUGAAUAUGUAUAUAAAAGAGUUGCGCUUCAUCAAUAGCCACUCUCUGACAAAGCAUGCCUUGAAGAGUUCCCAGUUGGAGAUUCCAUACUUUUCUGUCACCAAUGCUGCAGGUUGGGUUCUGCUCUUAUUGUAAGGGAUUCCAAGGUCAUCUGAAAGCUUCUGGCCAAUGUGGAAAGAGUUGAAGUGUUGCACAAACUCGGGCACUGAGAUAUAUUUGUAAGGUUCAUUCUUUCUGAACCAGUAUUGUUCUUGGUCCUUUCUGGAAGUCACCUCGUGCAAGAAGUCCACAACUCCUUUUCUUUCCGGGCAUUUGAAGCCCAUGCUUUCAAAGAACUCAAGGAUGUUUUCACGGGGACCUUGGUACACAAUCUGACCCUCACAUAGUAAGAUAAUGGCAUCAAAAAGAUCAUAAGUUUCAGGUGCGGGUUGGAGAAGAGAGAUUAUCAUGGUUACUUCCAUGAUAUGAACCAUCUGCCUCAUAAACUUAACAAUCUGAAAAGUGGUGGAACUGUCCAGACCAGUUGAUAUUUCAUCCAUGAAAAGAGCCUUUGCUGGUCUAACCAACAUUUCUCCUGCAUUCAGUUUCAUCAGUCGUAUUAGGCUUUUGUCCAGUGUUAAAAAUCUUAAGAACAGGGACUCCUCAGAAAGCAGACAAUUCAUAAUUGAUCGGUAGCUCAAUUCAAAUUGAAGGCAAAUGCUUUACCACUAAGUUGGAAGAAACAAUUGAUAUAGGACAUAAUCAAUGGAAAUGGGGCACAUACCAGUAGUAACACGCUUCUUUUCUCCACCAGAAAUGCCCCUUCUCAUAUCGUCUCCCACCAUAAUGUCAGCGCAGAUAUCUAAUCCCAGCAUCUGUUACACAGACAAUGUUAAAGAGCGUAAAGCUUGGGAAUGUAACUAAUAGGUCAGGCACCAAAUGGAAACGGAGCUACAAACCUUGAGCACGUAAUCUGUAACCAAAUUAGUUUCUGUUGCUCUCAUGAACGCAUCUAUCUCAGGAUCUGGCUUAAUUCCAGCUUCUUUUUCUCGUCUUGACAAUUCUGCAAGUAGUUCAUAUCUGGUUCCAACCCCCAAACAUCGUCCUGAGAAGUCCAACGUUUCCCUAACUGUCAUCUCACCAUGGUGCAGAUCAUGCUGGCCAAUGUAAGCACAUGUUCUCUGAGGAACAAACUCUGAUGAUUCAUGACCACAGUAUGUGAUUCUUCCUUCCAUCUGUCCAUAAACACCGUACACAACAGAGCUACUAGUUCAGGAAUCGGGACUAUCACCAUCACUAAAUAAUUCAAAAUUCAGGAACAGUCUGAGGACAUGGGCUGAAACUUGGGAAGGAAAUAAUAAUGACACAGUGAAGGAUCGAAUUGGAUAAAAAUAUUUGUCAGAAUGUAAGUUGUGGGGGACAACAUACCCUUAGAUCUUUGUUCAUCUUCCCAGCAAGCGCCUGUAGCAGGGUAGUUUUUCCUGAGGCUGGAGGUCCCAGAAGCAGAGUCAUUCUGCAAAACACAGAAGCUAAUCAAGAAACCGGCAAAGAAAGGAAGUGUACUUAAUGGGAAAAUUUUUUGUUAUCCUAUUAAAAUUUCCCAGAAUAUGUAUCAAUCAAAUUAUAUAAAGACAUCAUUCAGGAGAUUUGUGUUAAGGGCAACAUGAUUGAUUGAAAGGUACUUCCAAAAAUGGAAUACAUUUACCUUGAUGGUUUCACGAUCCCACUCACAUCUUUUAGUAUCUUGACUACCCUUUUCUUAGAUGGGGAAAGCCUAAUCAGUCCAAGUAUUCCCUGUUCAUGACAACAAAUAAACACAAUCAUAAUUCAUUCAUCUCUACAAAUUCCAACAGUCUACUGAAUUGAAGCAAACUUCUCCCAAAAACAUUAUCAGGAGAUUGAAGUCAUUCAUCAUAAUUUGCUGAAAGGGAAAAUCAAGAAUCACCAUCGAAAACAGAAGAAGAAAAACAAAGGGACAAACAGAACAAACCACCUCUAUGAAGUUCAUGGUAGAAUUGAUCAGAGUAGGAAGUGCCCUGGUUCCAACAUAUGCGUCUCCUUCUAUUGAUAAAUGCUCAAACCGGACUUCGAUUUUUGGAAUCUCAACCCCAACCCUGUUGAGAAAACAGAUGUUACGUUCCAUAAAACUUUUCUGGUAACAAAUUCAACUGGGGCAAAGCCAAAAGCAAAAAAACACAUGACUAACAGGGUGAACUUCAUGGGAAGAAAGAGAGAAGAGUGACCUAUCAGUCCUUUCCCUGAGCCUGAGAAGGAACUUCUCAUUAUCUUCUUCAACAACCUUUGGUAUACUCUCUAUGUGAUGCUUCCUCUCCUGCAUACCAAGAUUGGUGAAGUCAACUUCCUCAUGGACAACCUUCCCAUCAUCCAAAACUUGCUUAGGCAUCUCCUUGCUCAACCGCUCAAAGGUUGGAAGCCUUUCAAUGGCCGCCCACUUCAAUUCUUCCUCAUCAUCCUCUCUCCUACUCCUCUGAAAAACAUCACCUUGAGCUGACAACGCCUCACAAAUACUCGCAGAAGCCCAACUACGCCUACUUCCAGACGAUGAACUUUUACGCCUGCUGCUCAUGGAACUUGCUAGAUCAUCCUCAGCCAAUGAUGCAGCCAUUGUCCCCCACCAAAACCCCUCAGAGUAAAGACUCCAAACCCCACUUUAUAAUAACCCUGGAAAGCUGAGAUUCAACCGGUAAGCUAGCUCAACACGCUAGAGAAGGUUUCGAUGGAAUGGUGAUGGAGUGUUCGCCUGUUAGUUUAGGAGAGUUGGCGGCGGAAACCCCUCAGAAUAAAGACUCCAAACCCCCUUUAUAAUAACCCUGGAAAGCUGAGAUUCAACCGGUAAGCAACACGCUCGAGAAGGUGUCAAUGGUGUCGGAGUGAUCGCCCGCUAGUUUAGGAGAGUUGGCGGCGGCGGUAGUCACUGCCUGCGUGGAGCCGUUGUUUGUUUUAAAGUCACAUCAUAAAAAAUUGCCUUACAUGUAAAAUUCUUUUAUCAAAAAUAAAAACUAAAAUAGAAAAUUUGCCACCUCUACAAAAAAAAUAUAAAUUUAAUUUUUCCAAAACAAAAUUAUCAUUUGUCAUUAAUUACUAAUAAUAUAUUAAGAUUGAACGAAAAUUAAAAAAUAAAAUAAAAUCUCAUUUAAUAUUUUUCGUAUUUAUUCCUUUUUAUACUCUUGUUUUAGGGUUGAUUUAGCUAAAUCGUAAAAAAUAAUACUUACUAAGUUUUUAUUAACUAUUUAUAUUUUUACUUGGAAGCAUGAAUAUAAUAUGAAUCCAUCAAAAUUUAGCUAUUAAGUUAUGGGUGUUUUAGUGAUGUAUCAUAUAAAAUAUAAAUUUUAAUUGAAAGACUUUACUUUCAACUAUCUUAUAUUUAAUUAUUUGAAAAAGAAUAAGAAUUAAGAUACUGAUUUUGUAUCUAUGAAAAUCUUAAUCUCCAUUUUUAAAAGUACAUAUAAAAAAUAAAAAUAAAAAUCUAAGUUUUUGAAUGUAAGUACAAAAAAUGAAAUCAAGUUGUAAAACACGAGACUUAACACACACGUCUUCUAUUUGAAAGAUAUCAAAAUUUAUAAUAGAAGUUAUUGAAUUUUUUUAAAAUAAUUUAAAAUGUUUUUGCUAUAAAAUGAUUAGAAUUAUUGAUCUAAUGAAUUUUUUUUCCUACUUUUUAAUUCUUUUAAACAUUUCCUUUAAAUAUUCUUGAUCAUUUUAUUUAUAUAAAGUCCAAAAAAAAUUUCAAGUGUACUUAUACCAUGGUUGUUUAAUUUAAUAUAUUUUUAUAAUUAAUAUUUAAAAUUAUUUACUUUUUAAUAAUAAUAUAAAAUAUCAUUAAUUACCUUAUAAUUUAUAAAUGAUAAUUACAAUAUAAUAUUCUUAGUGGAUGUCCUCGUGACAAAAGUCUUGGGUGGACAAGUAUAUUGCCUUUUAAAUUAUUUUACAAGUCUCGUUAUUUCCGCCCGGAUUUUUUUAUAAUUGUACCGUGAAUUUAAAAUUAAUUUUUUAAAAUACGGCACUAUGAAAACUAUUUCCAAAUCUACGGCAUUUUGUAUCACUUUUUAAAGGUAUCUCUUGAAAAGACAUUUUACAUCAUUUUUAUAUAAAUGAUACAUGUUCAAAAAAAUUGAAUUUACAUUGAAGGUAUCUCUUCAAGAGACACCUUCCACAAUUUUUAUAUCAAUAACACAUGUUAAAAAUUUUGAAUUUACAUUAAAAGUAUCUCUUUAAGAGACUUUUUUUAAUUUUAUAAAAUUAAAUUUAUAUUAAAAGUGUCUUUUAAAUAGUUAUUUUUCACGGUUUUCAUAUCAGUUGCAUAAUAAAAAAAUUGAAUUUAUACUAAAGAUGUCAGACACACUUUCUAAAAUUUCACAAAAUUAAAUUUAUAUUAAAAAUGUCUCUUGAAGAGACACCUUUAACAAUUUUUGCAUCAAUCAUCCAUUGAAAUAAUUGAAUUUAUAGGUUAUGUUUGGUUCCCGAAAAGUAUUAAGAAAAGAAAAAAAUUGCUUAAGAAAAUAAUUUUCUCAUGUUUGGUUGUCUUAUAGAAAAUAAUAAAGAAAAUAAUAUAUAAGUAAGAUUAAUUAAAAAUUUAUAUAUUUUCAAAUUAUUUAAUCUUUAUAUUGAAAAGUGAAAAUAAGUAAAAUGAGUUUGAAGUAGCAUGUAAAAAUAAUUUAUUGAUUUUAAAUCCAUUGUUAUUUUCCCUCAUUUUUUCUUUCAUUCUAUUUUCCUUUCUAUUUUCUUUCCCUUGUAUUUUCCUUUACAUUUUCCAGGAACCAAACAUAGCCUAAAAGUGUAUUUUCAAAAGACACAUUCCACAAUUCCAUAAAAUUAAAUUUAUAUUGAAAUGUUUUCCUUCAAGAAACACUUUUAGUAUAAAUUUAAUUUUUUUUUAUAGGUGACUAAUAUAAAAAUUGUAAAAAGUGUUUCUUUAAAAGACACAUUUAGUAUAAAUUCAAUUUUGUGAAAUUGUAUAGACUCCUUCAAUGUAAAUUUAUUUUUUUUCACUGUGUAAUUGAUAUGAAAAUUAUAAAAAAUGUCUCUUCUAGAGACAUCUUUAGUAUUAAUUUGAUUUUAUGGUAUUGUGGAAAUGAUAUUUUUUUAAUAUAAAUUUAAUUUUUUUUUAAUAUAUAUGACUAAUAAAAAAAUUAUGGAAAAGUGUCUUUGGAAGAGACACUUUAACAUAUAUUCAAUUUUAUGGAAUUAUGGAAUGUAUCUUUUCAAGAGACUCCUUUUGUGUAAAUUUAAUUUAAUUUUUUUUAACAUUUAUGGUUGAUAUAAAAAAUAUAGAAGAUGUCUUUUCAAAAAAUAUAUUUCAAAAUGACAAAAAAAUAUAGUAGAUUUGGAAUUAUUUUUUAAAGUACUAUUUUUUAAGAAUUAUUUUUUUAAAUAGCCGUACAAGUUUAAAAAGCCCGUCCAGGGCUGAGAACUGGAAAAAGGAAGACGGUCCGACACACUUGAUAAAAGGAGACAAGACUUUGGUCAUGUAAUUCCAAAUCUAUCGAAGGAAAAGGUAUUAAUUUGAAAGAAAUCCUAAUCAUUGACUCGGCUUCCACAUGUAUUUCUACCAUCAUCCGACCACUCAAAUUGGUUUUUUUAUAUUUAUGAUUUUCAUUGAUUUCUGUCCAACCCAAACCUAUCGAAUUAAAAGAGGAAAAGGUAUAUAUUGAUUAAAAAGAUUGGAAAGAAGUACUAAUCAUUGACUGAUAGGCUUCUUCACCAUCUAUAACAAAAGAAAUAUUUGGUUAAAAGGAUGAAAUAAUUCUCAAAAUUAAAAAUCUAACCCUUUUCAUAUUUUUUUUGAAAAAAUAAUUCAUUUUUUAUAUAAAUAUUAUUUUCUAUUUUAAGUAUUUAUAUGUAGGUUUUAAAAGAAACGGUUGUUUUUACAAGAAAAUAAUGAGAAUAUUUUUGUCCAAAUGAUACCAAAAAAUGGGUGAGAGGUUAAAUUUCAAAAGUUGGAUUUUGAGAGGCCCUUUUAAUCAAAUAACCCUUUACAAAAAUUCCUUUUCAGGUCACUCUAAUUAAGGAAAUAGACUUUUGUUUUAAAAAAACCUUUUUUGGGCAUUUUAUUAAAAAUUAACUUUUUGGACAAUUUUAUUCACAAAACGAUUUUUUAAAUCAUUUUUAUUAAAUAAAUAAUUUUUUUUUUGUUUUUUUAGGACAAUUAUUAUUAAAAACAAUUUUUUGAAAUUUUGGAUUUUUGGAUAUUCAAUUCUGUACCCAAUGAGUAAACAUAUAUAAAUGAAUAUUUACGAAUCAAUAGGAAUAAAACAAAAUCUUAACAAUGAAAUGAGUCCAUGUAAAAACAAAAAUAAACCAAAAUAAAUAUUCAAAAAUAUACAAAGUCUAAAAUUAAACUUUAAAUUAAUCCAAUAAAUUUCACCAAUUAAAAUAGAUUUAAAUUGAUAAAUAAAACCCAAUAAAAACAUCCCACAUAUUAUUAGUCUUAAUCCCAGAUCUGCAAAUUAAUCACCAAAACACAAACAUAAUCAUGAAAAUUUACUAAAAAUACCAAAAAUCUUCUCUUUGGUUCUAAUACUUAUUUUGAAAACCAUUUUUAAUUAUAAAUUUCCUCUGCAAAGUGGAUGGAGAUAUUGGCCUUAUAUCUCCUUUUUCAUUCCUCUCUAUUGUUCCUGAUCUGCACCAUUGUUGGAUCUGUUAAAAUCUGGAGAAAAAUAAGGAACUAAAACUUGUAGAAAAUAUUAGAGUAUUGAGUUGGAGAAAGGCACACAAUAUUUCACCAAUGAGAAUGCCUAUUUAUAGGCUUACAACCAAACUGAAAAUGCUAAAAACUCUCAGCUGCUAUGACUACUUCUACUAACAGAAAAACUGAAAAUUAUGGAGCAAAACUGAGUCUAACUAAGACAUUUUCAAAGGCAAACUCUCAUGAAUUCUAACACUCCUCCUUGAGAUUUGCCUUGGACAUACCAAGCUUCAACCUUAGGAACUCCAGCCUUGAUUUAGGAAGUCCUUUAGUCAUUAUGUUAGCAAGUUGCUCAUCAGUUGAGCAAUAAUGCAGCUUAACAAGUGAAUUCUUUUCAGCUUCCCUUAUGGAGUGGAAUUUUACAUUUAUGUGCUUGGUUCUGCCAUGUUGGACAGGAUUUUGAGUACUGGAAAUGGCUGACUUAUUGUCAUAGUAAAGCUCAGUUGGUGAGCUUUGUUCCUGGCCUAAAUCAGUAAGCAAUUUUCUCAACCAUAUUACUUGAUUUGCAGCAGCUGCUAAGGAGAUAUACUCAGCUUCUGUAGUUGAUUGUGCCACUACUUCUUGCUUUCUUGAAUUCCAGCAUAUGACACCUGAACUGAUUGUAAAUACAUAACCUGAAGUGCUCUUCAUAUCAUCAACACUUCCUGCCCAAUCACUAUCAGCAUAACCAUCUAGCUUAACUCCUCCUGUCUUUAAAUACCAAAUGCCAAGAUUUGUUGUACCUUUAACAUACUUUAGCACCCUCUUUGCAACUCCCAUGUGAACAUUUCUAGGUGAACUCAAGAACCUUGAAAGCAAACUAGCUGGAAACAUCAAGUCAGGUCUGGUUACUGUCAAGUAUAGUAGGCUUCCCACCAAGCUUCUAUAUGCAGAGGGUUCCUCAAGUUUCUCACCAUCAUUCUUUGAAAUUUUCUCAUUUUGUGCCAACGGAGUUGCUACUUCUUUGCAUGAUUCUAGCUUGAAUUUCUUGAGAAUAUCCAUAGCAUAUUUUCUUUGUGAAAUGAAGAUACACCAGCUGCAUUGGUAUAUUUCCAUUCCAAGGAAGUAGUUCAUGAUGCCAAGGUCAGACAUCUCAAAUGCAUCAUGCAUUUCCAUUUUGAAAUCAGCUAGCAAUUUUACAUUGCUUCCAGUCACUAGCAUGUCAUCAACAUAAAGUGAUACUACCAGUUGCAAACCAUCAUCAUUUUGUUUCAAAUACAAAGUAGCUUCAUUUUCACUCCUCCUAAAUCCAAGUUGGAUCAGAUGAGAAUCAAUUAUGCUAUACCAGGCCCUUGGUGCUUGCUUCAAACCAUAGAGAGCCUUAUGUAGCUUGUACACUUUAUGUUCAUGGCCAAUAACCUCAAAGCCUUUUGGUUGUUGAACAUAAAUUUCUUCAAGAAGUAUACCAUUUAGAAAAGUUGACUUGACAUCUAAAUGGUAUACUUUCCAUCCCAUUUGACCAGCAAGUGCAAGUAGUAGCCUUAUAGUGUCAUGUCUGGCUACUGGUGCAAAUGUAUCACCAUAGUCCACUCCAGCAACUUGAGCAAAACCCUUCACAACCAAUCUAGCCUUAUGCCUGAAGAUUGAACCAUCUGAAUUAAAUUUGGUUCUAAAAACCCAUUUUACACCAAUUACAUUCUUAACUUCAGGUAGUUCUGUCAACUUCCAGGUUCCAUUUCUUUCAAUAGCAUCAAUUUCAGCUUUCAUGACCUCAAUCCAUUCUAGAAAUCUUGCAGCUUCCGUGUAACAUGUAGGCUCAGCAUGUACAAGAUUGCACCUCUCAUACACAUCAGAUAAUGGCCUCAUCUUAAGCACAAGUGUGUCUGAAGUUGCUUCAACAUCAAGUGGACCUUCAAUGAUUAUACUUUCUAUUGCUGGUUCAAGAAUAGAUGGAGUGGUUUGAUCACAUUUAUGAACUUUCUUCAAGUCCCAAUUCCAGUAGGAGUUUUCAUCAAAGUCCACAUCUCUACUUAUCACGAUUUUCAUUCUACUCAAGCUAUAAAUUCUGUAACCUUUUGAUUCAGCUGCAUACCCAACAAAAACACCUUUCUCAGCUCUUUCAUCAAGCUUCCCUCUCUUGACAGAUGGCACAUGAAGAUAACAAAAUGAACCAAAAACUUUCAGGUGCUUGAUAGAAGGUUUUACACCAGACCAUGCCUCUAUUGGUGUUUUGCUCUAAACAGACUUAGUUGGUAGUCUGUUAAGCAAAUAUACUGAGGUGUUGACUGCUUCAGCCCAUAGAAGUUUUGGUAGCUUCUUCUCGAAUAGCAUGCACCUUGCCAUCUCCAUCACGGUUCUGUUCUUCCUCUCAAAGACUCCAUUCUGUUGUGGUGAGUAUGGAGCUAUUAGUUGGUGUACAAUUCCAGCUUCUUGACAAAAGACAUUUAACUCUUUUGAGAUAUACUCACCUCCAUUAUCAGUUCUAAGCACCUUAACGUUCUGGCCACUUUGAGUUUCAACCAUUUUCUUGAAGCUUUUGAACACAGAGAGCACUUGUGACUUGGUUUUUAGAAAAUAAACCCAAGUCAUUCUACUGAGAUCAUCAAUAAAUAAUGCAAAAUACACAUUGUUGCUCAAUGAGGCUGUGCUCAUUGGUCCACAAAUAUCUGAAUUAAUUAAUUCCAGCUUGUGAGUAGCUUUCUUGGACAUAUUUUGAGGGAAUGGUUGUCGUUGUUGCUUCCCUAGCUCACAACUUUCACAAGUUUGAGCAUUAACUGAGAUUUCAGGCAUGUCUUCAACCAUACCAGCUUCUUGCAUGAACCUCAGUGACUUCAAGUUGAAAUGACCAUAUCUUUUGUGCCAAACAACACUCUCAUCAAUCUUGGCACUAAAGACAUGACCUUCAACUAAAUCAAGCUUCAAAUAAAAGUUAUUUCCAUUCAUUUUAAUUUUUGCUAUCUCUUUUCCAUGUACAUUAGUGAUAAAACAAAAAUUUCCUUUGAAAAAGACUGCAUAUCCAUUUCUUAGCAUUUGUGCAACACUAAGAAGAUUCUGAUCUAAAUCUGGAAUGUAAAGAACAUUAGUGACAAUUUUUGUACGUCUCUUGGUGCUGAUAGCAAUUGUCCCUUUUCCUUUGGCCUGCACAACUUCACCGUUUCCCAACUUGACCUUUGGUUGAACUGAUCUAUCAAUGGAGGUAAAUAUUGACAGAUAUUUGGUCAUGUGACUCGUGCAGCCACUGUCAAUGAGCCAAGUAUUCAGUUCAUGAGAACUCAGUUCAUGAGAACUGAGUGCUUGUGAUGCCAUAAAUAAAUGCUCAUCAUCAUUUUUGUCUUCUUCAGUCACAUUUGCAUUUUGUUUUGGUUGUUGUUGAGAUUGUUUUUUCUUGGCUCUGCAAUACUUCUCACUGUGGCCAAGUUUAUUGCAGAAAUUACAAUUAAAGAGAGGUUUACCUUUGUGCCAACAAUCUUUCUCAGCAUGGUUGGUUCUUCUACAAUGAGAGCAAGACGGAAAUUUUCCUUUUCUUGAAGACCCUUCAGCUUUCUCUUUGUUGUUCUUGAAGAACUUCUUUCCUUGCAAGUUUCCAGAAUUCUUUCCCUCGUGAUUUGCUUGAAAAGCACCUUCAGUAGCUUCAUCACCUCUCAUUAAGACCCUUUGCUCUUGUGCAUGAAGCUUGCUGGUUAACUCUACAAUUGUGAGAGUUUGCAAGUCACAAGACUCUUCAAUUGCAGAAAUCUUGGCUUCAAACUUUUGAGGCACUAAAACCAUGAUCUUUUCUACCACCUUUUGAUCUGUAAAUGCCUCACCAAGAAGUCGUAUUUGGUUUACAACAUCCAUUAACCUGCCAGAAUAAUCUUUGACAAAUUCAUCGUCUUUCAUCUUCAUCAACUCAAACUCUCUCUUCAAUUUGAGGAGUCUAACAGUUUUGAAUCUUUCACUGCCCUCAAAUUCACCUUGGAGCUUGUCCCAUACUAGUUUAGGUGUUUCCAAGUUCAUGAUUUUGGUGAAGAUGUGGUCUGUAAGUCCUGAAUGUAGGCAGGUGAUGGCUUUGUCUUUCUUGAGUUUUUCUUCCUCAUAUGCUUUCAUCUGAGCAACUGUAGGAUUUGCUCCCAAUGGUGGUGGAUCAGCUUCAGACAUCACAACAUUCCACAAACCUUGAGACCUUAAAUAAAACCUCAUCUUGACAGCCCAAAUGUGAUAGUGUUCACCAUUAAACACUGAAAUUACAGAGGAAGUAUUGCUAGAAGGAGACAUGUUUGCACCACAGUUGCUUAAAAAAAAAUAGAUCACUCAACCUCACUAGUGUUUGCACUCAACCUCAUUGUGUUUAAUACUAAAAAAAAAACUUUGCCUCAUAGCCCGUAGGAAUAAUGCUCUGAUACCACUGUUAAAAUCUGGAGAAAAAUAAGGAACUAAAACUUGCAGAAAAUAUUAGAGUAUUGAGUUGGAGAAAGGCACACAAUAUUUCACCAAUGAGAAUGCCUAUUUAUAGGCUUACAACCAAACUGAAAAUGCUAAAAACCUCAGCUGCUAUGACUACUUCUACUAACAGAAAAACUGAAAAUUUUGGAGCAAAACAGAGACUGAGUCUAACUAAGACAUUUUCAAAGGCAAACUCUCAUGAAUUCUAACAGGAUCCUCAUGAUCUAUUUCCACCAAGUCCCACAAGUCACAUGCUUGCAGGUACGACUCCAUUUUCACAUCCCAUAUUUGGUAAUUUUCACCUGUGAAAACUGGAGGUGCAGACAAAAAUCUAUUUCUGCCAUAUCGGGUUUCAAGAGGAAGGAUGGGUUUUGAUUUGUUGUGGUUUAUAUCUCACUUGAUACACUCUCACACUACACAGGUCCCAAGUCAAAUAUGAAUUCAAAAAAUUCAAACUAAACUACAAACUGUUCCUCUAUCUUGUAGAAUACUCUCAACAGAAUACCAGCUUAAAUCCUGCAGCAAAUAUAGCACUUGUCAUCACUAACUUUUGGUUAAAUAAUCAUAUUGAGUCGGUUUACAACUGAAUUUAUUUGGAGGGAAUGCAAUGCAUAUCAAAAAUAAAUACAAGGCAGCCACUUCUCAUUUUGUCAAAUGUAAAUCACUCAUACUUGUGUAUGCAAAUGAAAAAGAAACAAUCAUUUUCUGAGACUUUCCUUUACCUCCUUUGGAAGUUAAGGAACUUAAUGCCAUAGGCAAAGACAAACAAGAAGAGGAGGACCCAACCAAUAUGAGCCAAGGCAACCGCUCCCAAGAAAUCAUAUUCAAAGCCUGAAGCCUCCUUAAGAUACAGCUUCACUGACUUCACACCUGCUCCAGGUACCUGAACCGGAUCCUCCUUGUUGCCCACCUGAGAUGUCACCAGUCCGUAGAUGGUCCAAGCAACAGGGGAAGCCCAGUAGUACCACCUCCACCAUAUCGGUAUUUGCUGCAGAUGUACAGUUUGUUAGAAUUCAAUAUUCUUCUACAAAAACAUACUCAAAUUCUUCGUAGGCAUACACACCAUCCUAGGGAUGAGAAAACCAGAGAAGAGAUUCCAAAAGCUUAGGAAGAAGGACAUAACAAUGGCAGCAAUUUGAUGGCUGGGAGUGAGUGCUACGAUCAUCAUUCCAUACAAUGUGAAGUAAAUAAAGCACAUGAGUAGGUAGUAGUAGAACCAUAAGAACUUAUCCACUCGCCAGUAGAAUCCCAUCAUAGAGUAGAGGAGAAGACUGUAAACCAAAGUUUGGAUUGCAACGUAAAUUGUCUCUAUGACCACCUGC
rnacentral:lncRNA from 1 species